rnacentral:lncRNA from 1 species
AAGCACUUCGAGUUCUUGCCUGAUGUUUCAAUUUACGACAACGGUAUUAAGCCAACCAAACAAAAGUUCUUCGCCAAGGACUUCGAGCUCAUGCCUGAUGUUUCUAUUUAUGACAAUGGUGUAAAGCUAGCCAAACAAAGGUUCUCCGCCAAGGACUUCGAACUCAUACCUGAUAUUUCAAUUUAUAACAAUGGUGUAGAGCUAGCCAAACAGAAGGCAUUCGCCAAAGGCUUCGAGCUCAUGCCUGAUGUUUCAAUUUAUGACAAUGAUAUUAAACCAACGAAGAAGAGUUCAUAUGCCAAGGACUUUGAGCUGAAGGCUGAUAUUUCAAUUCAUGAACCGACCGAACAAAAAUAGGUAAUUAGCAUUACGGAUCUGCAGCCAGAUGCUACAAUUUAUCAUAAUUAAAUAGAUGAUCAUGCUUGUAAUCAGGCGCAGGAUGGAGUCUCUUACCAUAUUUAAUGUUCUAGAAGAGUAGCCACAUACGUGCAAUAACGCUUUCCUUGUUUGUGUGUGUUGUCAAAAGCGCUGUUUCUAAAGUAAUGUAAUAAGUGCUGAAAUAACCCAUGCAAUAAAAUCAUGUCAUGCGUCUUUAAUUUUUUUUUUCUCUCUCUCUUAAACAAUCUUAUGAUAGAUUAUUUACAAGUUAUAAUUUAUAAAGAGAGAAACUAUAUUAAAAUAAUGCUUUUUACAUAAAUAUUCUAUCCAUUAAUCUCGUAUAGCUAAUUAAGUUUGUUUUUUUUUUUUUUAUUUACAACGACAUCCUUAGAUGUUUAAAUUGUUUUUUUUUUAAAGGUAAAAGGGUUGGGUCAAUCAAAAUUAAUUUUUUCACCCUGAUCUCUUUGAGAUUCGAACUUAGGUGGCUAGCUAACUAAGAUUAUUUGAAACCAUUCGGUUGGGUUUCUAGGGGCCUUGGAUGUUUAAAAUUUGUAUUUUGAAUUGUUAUUCAGAUGGAACAAUAUAAUUAACUUUAAUUUCAAAGUCAAUUUGACCCUAUUUAAUUUUGAGAUGCUGUUACUUUUAAACUAGCUACUUGGGAAAAAAAAAAGUCGUAACCUUAAAAUAAAAAGUGAUACUGUGUGGAAAAUAUGAUUUUAAAUAAUAAUUUUGACAAAAUAGCAAAGAAAUAUUAUUUAAAUUAUUAUUACCAGCCAAACAAAAAUAGGUUUUUUAUUAUACAAAUGCAAGAUCAAAUCAACUUAAUUUUUGAGUUACAACAACUACUACUUACUAAACACUUUGAUGUCAAUACCAAAUAGGCCUCUUUUUUCCUCUCCCUCUCUAAUUUGUAAGACUACCCAACCAUAUAUUGUAUAAUAUUCAAUUAUUAUAUUAACUAGUUUUAUUUUCUUAUGAUCACAUGAUAUCUUUUUUUUUUCAAGAAUCUGAACAGAUAAUGGUUUUAAAGCUCAGAAGUAGAUCUGAUUCUAAAUAUUUGGAAAUUGAAAAAAAAAAAAAACUAAUUCACAUUUGCAGAAGAAGGUAUGUACUUGAUAACUUGAACGCCAUGAUGGUAUAUAAUUAAAUUUAACUAUUGUUAUAUUUUUAUUUAUUAAUCACUAAUUAUUCACGAUGAAUUUUAUUUGAAUAAGUUCAUAUCAUGAUAGAAUCUUAAUUCAAAUACAUAUGAAAAAAAAAAUCUAUGACUGCACUAAUAAGAUAUUUCAUUUAAUCAUGUGAUAUUAAAAUGAAAAUUAUGAUAGAUAAACUUAAAUUUUCCAUUUUCCCCCCUUUAUCAUCUCACAUGGGCCACUUCAAUUCGCUGAAAUCCUGAUGCUUCGGCCUCCAGAUGUAAAAGAACAUGAGUCACAUAUAGUAUUGGUAGAUGCGUGAAUGGAUCACAUCUCACUCAACCAACAAAUUGCAUGUCAUCUGGAAAAUGAUUUAAAUAAAUGAACAAAUACUCAGUCCUCUAUUUUAAGUUAAGUAUUUGUUUAUUCCUUAUAUUUUAAAAAUAUCUCAAAAUAAGUUGUAGUUAAAUAUAUUACAUUCUUAAUCUUGUUUUUGCUUUGCUUUUAUAAUAAUGCCCUUAUAAUAAUAUUCUUGACAUUAAUUAAUUUAUCUAUAAAAUUUUAAUUAGAAAAUUAACCAAUAAUUAUUUAGUAAUAAAUUAACCAAUAAAUAUUAGUACAAAAGAACUAAUAUUUUUUGUACAUGUGCGACAAUCGUGCUAAUAAUUUAUUUAUAAAUAAAAUUAAUAUUAGUCAACUUAAAGUAAUGCUUAUCAUCCUUGCAAUAAUUUUACUAAUAAUUAUUUUAUAAAAAAUUAAUUUACCAAAUUAAUCCUAAAAGUAAAAUAAUAACAUAAAAAAAAAUUACUGUAAAAAUUUUUAUGCUACUUUGAAGGCUAAUUUGAUAAAGAAUGGAACUACUAGCACUCCUUCAAAAUCUUUUUAAGACCCCUUUUUAAAUACACCCAAUCAAAUAAAUGAAAAAUUAUAUCACUUCUAAAAACAACCAUCUUUAUUCCACAAUUGUCCUUCAAUCUUAUCUCUCAUAAAAUGAUAAAAUUACAAAAAUAAAAAUCUUUUUGUGGAUACUAUUGCAAUAAUGAUCAUUAGCAUUCUUCACAAAUUUGAUUAACAAGUAUGGAAUGGUAUGUAACUUUAGAUUUCUAAAUUUUAACUUUUCUUUAUGUUUUGCAACAAAUAUACCUUCUAUUUUAAUAUAUGAUACCUAUUAAUUUAAUUUUUUUCAAAUAACAAAACUCACUUGUUCAAACAAACAAUGAGACCAAAAAAAGCAAGGGAAAAAAAGUGAACAAAUAAAAGGUAGAACUACUUGACACAUAAAAACUUUAAAAAAAAAUGAAAAAGAAGAGAUCUAGUAAAAGAAGUAUGAGUAUAAAAUAAGCCAGGCAAUGAAAGAAUCAUAGCUUUUCGACAAAUUCCAUGUCAAUGUCCUUUUGGAAUAAAUUUUUAAUGUUAUCUAUUUGAAUAAUGAUGGUGGUUGAGUUUCCACUUUCCAUUAUGCUCUCGAAUGUAAGCUUCUGAUGCGUCUUCUAAAAUAAUUCUAGAUAUUUUAUUUUAAAUUUAUUUGAAUUUGUAAGUUACCCUUUUAAUUGCGGUUAUCAUGUAAACAAUUGUUGCCAAAUCAUAAACAAAAUCCUGAGUAGGGACGAUAAUGGGACGGUUUUGAUCGAUGAUCCACUUAAUCUAAAUCUAAAUUUAUCAUAUUUGGAUCAGUAUAAAAUGAAUUUGGAGUGGGUACAUAUGAAUCUAGAUGAGUAAAUUCAAAACAAAUUUAAAGCACGUAUACAAAUCUAACUUAAAAUUCGGAUCCGUAUCCAUAUCUAAUUAGAAAUCUUUUAAUUUUAUUUUAUUUUUAAAAGUAUUAAACUAUCGAUGGUUUAAUACUUUUACAAUCAAAUUAAACUUAUACCUAGCUUACUGAAAUCAAUACCACAUUUAUGAGAUGCAAUAUAUUAUCAGUUUUAUAUGAAAUUCAAAGUAUUAUUUUUAAUUUUAUUUAAGAUGAAUUAUGUGUUUUAGUUGAUAGUAAGACGUUUUUUUCUCAAAUAUUUUUGUGCUCUUAUUAUUCUUAUGAGGCUUGAAAGUUUAAUAAGAUAAAUUUAUUAAUAUUCUAUUAUAAUAUAUAAAAUUUUAAAAUUAAAAUUGAUAAAUCCAAGAUAGAUUUGGAGCAAAUCCGAACCUUUAUUUUAAAUUUGAACUUAAAUAUACAGUAAAAAUCAUAAAUCUAUAAUGAAUUUAGAGUAAAUACAAAUCUCAAUUUUUAUUAUUAAUCAAGAAUUAGAACAGAAUAGAUCCAGCUGAUAUAUAUGUCCCAUUGUCAUCCCUGUGACUGAUGAAAAGAUAUAGGAAAAUAAACAGGAGUUUAAUAAGCUAGACAAUAAAAGAAUCAUAUAUAGCAAUGAUUGAUUCUUUCUUCCUAUCCUUAUGAAAUCUUUCUCAAUGUCUUUUCUACGAAAUCUUUUUUAAUGUCCUUUUCGAAAAUAUCACCCUUCAGCCAAUGACUUUGAGCUGAAGGCUGGUAUUUCAAUUCAUGAACCAACCGAACAAAAAUCGUUUGUCAACAAUAUGGAUCAGCAGCCAGAAGCUACAAUUUAUCAUUAUUAAAUAGGUGAUCAUGCUUGCAACCAGGCGCAGGACAGAGUCUCUGACCAUAUUUAAAUGUUGUAGAAGCGUAGCCAUAUAUAUGAAACGUUUCACUUUGUUUUCGUAUGUUAUCAAAGGCUCAGUUUUAAAAGUAAUAUUGUAAUAAGUAUUGAAGUGUCCCAUGCAAUAAAAUCGAAGUGUCCCAUGCAACAAAAUCAUGUCAUGCGUCUUAAAUUUAUUUUGCCCUCUUAUUUAUCCUAGAUGGUAAAUACUGUUAUGAUAGAUUAUUCAAAAGGUUAUAAGGGGAGAAGAUAAGUUUAUUUUUUUUUGGGGAAAAACAUUUCCUUGCUGAAAAAAGCAAAAAUUUACAUAAGUACUGCAAUGUCUGUGGGCGGCUCUUCCAACUGAAUAAGAUCGUUAAUCAAAGAGAGUGCUAAUUUUGCUAACUGAUAAGAAACUGUAUUACAAUUUCUAAUUUCUGAAAUGAUCCAUUCAAUCUCCUUUCUACUUGAUAAAACGCCCGUAAUUAGAUGGACAAGAUUUACUGAAUCAAAUUCCACAAUAAAAAGAGUUAAGCAUAAAUCUAUCGCCGGCUUGAUGCCUUCUAGGAUAGCUUCAGCCUCUGCAAACUCGAUGUCGCUAAGAAAAGAUUUCUUGUGGCUGAGCCAGCUAUAAAAUCUCCCUUGAAAUUUCCUAUAAUUGCACCCAAACCUGUAAUUCCAUUGGAGAUGUCAAUCGGUGCAUCAACGUUCAAGUUGUACCAAUGAUUAUCCGGUGGAAUCCAACUAACACCCUUCUUGGUUGGAGGGACUAGAAACUCUUGAAUUGGAGAGCCUUGAGCAGCAGUGUACGAAUUCAAAACAGCUUCAGCCUUGCAAAGAACACUCUUUGGGUCCAUCUUUUGAUUCUGAUAGAGCGCUAUGUUCCUAGAAUGCCAAAUAGACCAUGUAAUCAUCCCAAACGAUGGGUAGUCCUCUUUUGACAGCCAAGAUUCCAAAUUCUUUGCAAAGAGAGCAAAAUCCAUAUGAGGGUUAUUCGUUACAUAAGCAGCCAAAGUUGACAACUUCCACACCUUGAUCGCAAACUUAUAGCCAACUAACUCAUGAAAGGUACCCUCAAUAGCACUAAAACAUCGAUGACAAUUUGGAGAAUCCACUACUUUUCAUUUCAAAAGAUUAUUUGAUGUAGAGAGUAUAUUACGUAGAGCUCUCCAAAAAAAAGAUCGACUUUAGAUGGAAUGGAUAAAAGCCAAGCGGGAUACCCCAAUUAGCAUAGCCAAAUGAACUUAGAGGGGGAAUUAGGAUAAGUAAGACUAAGGGCCACUUGUAACCACUCUUAAAAGUUUACAAAUUUAUUUUGUACAAACUGAUUUGACAUUAACUUAUUGAUUAAAUAAAAAUACAACAACAUGUUUUUAUAUUUAAAAUAUAUAUAUUCACAUAUACGAAGGUAUAUACUUGAACAAUAUGAGUAAUACAUGUGAAUUAAAAUCAUCUCCUAAUCUAAGCUCCAUUAAUUAAUUUUAAAAAAAACUUGUCACAUGUUUUUAGUAUAGUGUAUAAUUAUUGUUAUGUUUUUAUUUAUUAAUUUCCAAUUACCUGCUAUAUAUCUUACUCAACAAUGUUUUGAUCAUGAGAGAAUUUUAAUUCAAAUACAUAUGAAAAAAAAAAGAAGAAGAAAUCUGAGACCAUACUAAUAAGAGAUUUCCUUUCAUGUGAUUUUAAGAUCAAAAUUAUGAUAGUAUGCAAACUUGGUUGCGUUUAGUAUUGUUCUUUAAACGAUGUUUUUGUAUUUAUUUUAUAAUAUAGAUAUGAUUAAUAUUUGAUGAAUUUGAAAUUUUGUUUGGUAUAUAGUAUAUAGUAUGAAUUUGACCACUAAAUACUUAAUAAUUAUAUUUAUAUACAAAAUUAAAAAAAAAUAAGGAUUUCUCUACCUUACGUUUAAUGUAAGGUACAUCCCCUUACAAAUUGAGCUAUAAGUCCCACUUGAGCCCACAGCCAAUAGAGAGGUUGUACCUUACAUUAAAUGUAAGUAGAGAUGGCCAAUGGGUCGGGCGGCACAAGGCACAGCACGUGUCCGUACAACAUGGCACGACACGAGCACGUUUCGGUAGGGCACGAAGCACGGCACGGCACGCAAAAAGGCACGUAAUAAGCACGCUUCAUUGAUAGGCUAAGCACGUAGCCCGUGGGCCAAAGUAUAUCAAAAUAAAAAAUUUUAAUGAAAAAUAAAUAUAAAAUAUCAUGAUUUUAUAAAUAUCUUGAAAUUAAAUUUUUUAAUAUAUUUUUUUAGCAUAGGUUUUUUAAAAUUAAUUUAAGUCCUAGUUUAAAUAAAUAUUCUAAUUUUUUAUGUUUAUAAUUUAUUAAAUGGAUAAAUAAAUAUCAUGAUUUUAUAAAUGAUAAAUGAAAAAUUUUACGACAUUAAUAUUUCAUUUAUGAAAUCAUAACUUAGUUAAUAGUUAAUGGAGAUAUGUUUCAUUUGUGAAUGAAAUAUUUUUCAUAUUUAUGCACAAAAAAAUAAAAUUAUGAACAAAAUAUUUUUAUGAUAAAUUAAAAAUUACAUUUUCAUUCAAUGGAGUUUAUGUGCAAUUAUAAUAUUAGUAGCUCAAAUAAAAUUAGAUGUAAUUGUUAUUCUAGAAUUGUAAUUUUAUUUUCAUUAAUUAUUACUAUGAUCUAUGAAAUUAUUAUUAUUAUUGUCGUUGUUGUUGUUGUUAUUAUUAUUAUUAUUAGGCUGGUAGGGUUAAAAAAGCACGCCAGGCACGUGGACUUUUUUAGGCAUACUGGACAUGUGGACAAAGAAAAAAGGUUGGUGGGCUUUUUUUGGGCACGGCCCACGGCACGAGUUUGGACAUGUGGACAAAAAAAAAGUUGGUAUGGGUUUUUUUUAGCACGAACCACGGCACGGUACGGCACGAGUGGGCUCGUGCCGUGGGCCGUGCCGGCUCACGAGCCCGCGUGGGCUGACAUUUUGUGGGCCGUGCCGUGCUGGCCAUCAUUAAAUGUAAGGUAACAGCUCCCAAAAAAUAAAUGAAAGAGAGAGGCAACAUAGCAUAAUACGGGGCCGGACCCACAUCUUCAUAAAACUAUGUCAUAAAAGCAGUGGUAGUUCCUAUGAACAAAGUGAAGAAUAAAGAUUUGAUGCUGUCUAAUUAUCUUCGUUAACAUUGUAAAAUAGAUAUGGUUUGCUUUCAUAAUAAUAAAAAAUGUUACUGUUACUGAGGCUUAUCAAACAUUUUUUUUCUAUUCUUAUAAAAUAGAAAAUGAGUGAUGAAAAACAAUACCAUACAGCCCAAAUUUUUUUCCAUUUUUACCCCUUUAAUCAUAGCCUAUCGGCCUCUCCAAUUAGUUGAAAUCUUGAUGAUUCGACCACAAGUUGUAAGAGAAAUUCUAGAAUAUAUCUAUUGUAUUAUAACUAAUUAAUGCAUGCACGACAUGCGUAAUUGAGUUUAAUACAACCACCACUUGCAUGAUAGUUUACAAAAUAAAUGCACACAUGUCAUGAUAUUAUUUGCUUGUUGUAUGGGUGACAUAGUACAACAGAUGUAUUCUAGAAUUUCUCCAAGUUGUAAAAUACCAUUUGAGUCACAUAUAUUAUUGGUAGAUGAGUAGAUCGCAUCUCCCUCAACCAACGAAUUGCAUGUCAAUGUGAAAAUUGAUUUAACUGUUUAGUCUGUUUUUCAAUGAGACGUAUUUCGUUCAAACUUUUACCUUCAAUCAAUGGGACCGAAGAAAGUAGGAAAAAAAAAAUUAAACAAAUAAAAGGUAGAACUAGUUGACAGACAAAAUUUUAUCAACAUUUUGAAACAACCAACAUUAAAAAGAAAUAAAAAAAUAAAAGAAGAGAUCUAGUAAAAGAAACAUGAGUUUAAUAAUUAAGCUAGAAAAGGAAAGAAUCUUAGUAAGCUUUUCAACAAGAUCCUUUUCAAUGUCCUUUUCGACAAAAUCUUUAUUGUCAAUAUAUUGAAAAAUGAUGGUGGUUGAGUUGUCACUAUGUAUCUCGAAUUUAAGCUUCUGAUACGGUCUUUUAAAAAUAAUUCUGGAUAUUUUAUUUUAAAUGGUAACUUUUAAUAGUGGUUAACUUGUAAACAAUUGUUGCCAAAUCAUAAACAAAAUCUUAUUGUCUCACGGAAAGAUACUGGAAAAUAAUCAUGAGUUUAAUAAGCUAGACAAUGAAAGAAUAAUAUAUACAUGUUAUAUAGUAACGAUUGAUUAUUUCUUCUUACCGCUAAGAAAUCUUUUUCUAUGCCUUUUUCGACAAAAUCUUUAAUGUUAUAUAUUGAAUAAUGAUGGUGAUUAAGUUUCCAUUAUGCAUCUCUCAUGUAAGCCUCAGUCCCUAGAAUUAACUAGCUCUCAGGAUUCCUGCAUCAGUUAACUACAGCUUCCAGGUUUAUCAAUAAUUAUGGUACACCAUCCUCCAAUAUCUGUGCAUAUAUAAUUUUUUAAACAGGAAUUUUGGAGUUUGGAUCAUAUUAAAAUAAAGGAUAAAUUAAAAAAUAAGACAAACACAUACUCUAACAUAUUUUAUUUUAUCAUGUAAUAUAUUGAAUUUCAUAUUUUUCUGUCUUUUUAGCUUGUUAUAACGAUCCUUUAUAAGAAAUUAAAUGUAUCUUGAUUCUCUCCCACACUAACUUUAGAAGAGAAAAUUAUUUAAUUUGCUUUAUUCUUUUACUACUACUGCGUCAAAAUAACCAACAAUUGACGACAACAAUUAUUGAAUAUGUAACAAAUUUACAUACAUUUUGACGACAUCUUUACUUGUUUGUGUUGGCAUCCUUAUUGGCAAAUUACAACAUCGUUCAGUCUUCUUAUAAUUAAGCAAUUGUCUAUGUAACAUAAAUUAUGUAUUAAGAACAUCAAUAUGGCGUGGAGCAUUGCGCAUAGAAGAGAAGAAGUAAAGUCUUAGGCGUCUACUCCAUGUGGGAAACAUGGGAUUAUCACAAAGAGAGAUUUAAAGAUUAUAACAAAAGAGAGAUUUUAACUAACUUGUUAUGGAGGGAUGAGAUAACGAUCAAGUUGGCAUAAUCUGUAGAGAUAACGACGAGUUUGGAAUAAUCAUGUGGUGAUAAUAUUAUGAUAUUCUGCCUUUUGAUCAACUGAGCACGCUCCCUCUCACAACACAACUCUCUUCAUAAGAAUUGGCCAACAUGGAUUGUCACUUUUCAUGUUAAUUUGAUAUUACCUUGAAUGGCAUAUUAAUUUGAUUUGAAAAAAUGGAACGAGAGUAGAGGAAAAAAGGAGAAUGAAAAGAAAUAAGAAAAAAAAUGAUGAAUUUCAUAUAAAAUCAAAUAAUGAAAUAAUAAAAUUGAGGUCGAUUCUCUUUUUUUUCUCUUUUUUCUCUAAUAAAAAUAUAUCAGAUUAAUGACAAAGUAUUGAUAUUUGAUCCCCUCAGUUUCUCUUAUUAUCUCCCACUUCUCUCAUUUUAAUUUGAAAAGUCAAAAAUACCUACCAAAAUAAUUUUAAGUUUUAAAUUUUACCCUUUCUUCUUUCUCUCCUCUCUCUUAUUCUCCCGACUUCCCUUCAUCUUCGUUUUCUUUAAAAAUUGAAGAUUAGUACACUUUCCUUCAUUUUUUGAUCUUUCUGUAUCGAUGAGAGCAAUAAUUGACAUCAUCAAACAAUCCUUUUCUACCCAAAUCAUGAUUAUAAACAAAAGUAAAAAAUAGCAAUAUCAUGAUAUGGAAUCUUGAUCAUAUCUCAUGAUCCCUCUUCAGCUUCUAUGUUAAUCAAAAAGAAAAAAAUAUAAUCGAUUAAAGAUUAAAUUUAAAUUUUAAAAUGUUGUCCUUUUUUUGGGGGGGGGGGGGGGGGGGGAUAAAAAAGAGUUUGAGAUCAAGAUGACAGUGUUGCAUAAAUAAUUAUUAUUAUAAUAAUUAAAGAAACGGCUUGCAUGUCCACUUAUUGCUAAGAAGAGAAGUGGUUCGCGCCGGCCAGUUCCAAGAAGACAAGUGGUGGGUGUCAGUGCAUGGUUAGUAAUUAUUGGGGACUAGAACUGAUUGCCAAGAGUGAGGGUGCAUUUAAUAUUGAGGUUGAGUAACUUUUAAGAUACUGUACUAAAGUGUUUGGUAAACACUAAUUACGGUAGCUUGGAAACUAUGGUGGUAUUUGUUUUUUAACUUAAUGACUUAAAGUGACUUAACUUAAUUAAUUAAGUUAAUUAGAGGUGUUUGUUUUUAUAACUUAAUGAGACUUUUUAGAUAAUUUUGACUUAAUAAAAUAAGCUAAUUUUUUUGGCUUUUUACUUAAUGGAGAAAUCUGAAUUAAGUUAAUUACUUGCUAAUGUCAAAAAUAUCUCUGUUUUAUAAUUUAUUUUUUAUGUCUAUCCCAAAACUCACCCAUAAAUAUUUACCCCACAUAAAAAUAUCCCUGUUUUUUCUUUCUUAUAUUAUAUACGAUAAAAUUUGAAAUUUAUGGUAUUUUAUAUAUUAAAAUUCUAAAAUAAUUAUGUAUUCACUUGAAUAUAGUUUUGCUUAUAAAUGUUAAAAUAUUAUGGUAUUUAAUAUAUUAUUUAUUUGACAUUCAAAUUUAAUAAGGCUACAAAUGUAAAAGUACAUAUUUUCAGCUUUUUAAGUUGAAAAAAACAAACAGCUUAAUACUUAUUUUCCGAGAUUCAUACGAAAAAACAAACAUAUUAUUCAGAUUCAGACAUUCAGAUCUAUUAAGAAUUCAGACUAAUUCAGGUUUAUUCAGAUUUUAGAUAAAAAAAACAAACGCCACCUAUGUUAAUAUGAUUUUUUUCUUAUAUAAUAAAAAAUUUAUUAUAUCUUUAAUAAUUUUGUCAAAAUUAUUAUUUAAAAUUUAUAUAUACUAUAUAUUAUUAAUUUUUGUUUCAUAUUUACAGUUUUUUUUCCAUAGCAGUUAUAACUUAAAAGGUAUAGCACCUCAAUUUCAAACAGGACCUGAAUCUUGUUCAACAAGCAACAGAUUUAGCACCGAUGAGAGAAGAACAAAUAUUAAUUUUAUUUUUUUUAAUGAGGGCAAUUCUGAAUAUAAUUAUAACUAGUAAAAUGGGAGCUAACGAGAUAAAUUGAGAGGUUUAAUAUCUUUACUCUUAAUGAUAAAAAUAACCACAUCGAAGUGCACUGUUAAAUAAAUAAGUGCCAUCACUAUUUAUGCAAUUUACAUGAUAUUAUGAUUAAUCUUGCAUAUGAUUAUUUAUUAAUAAAAAAUAUGUAACAUGUGCUAGCACAUACUAUUUUCCUCUAAAUUUCUUAUACCACAUUUUUUCCUAUAAAUAGAAAGAGGCACACGUCUUCCACGCAAAUCACACAAGUAAGACUUAGUAUAAUUAGAAACAUGAAUCUCAAAGCUUUCUUUGUUCUCUCCGCAGUGCUCUCUUUGCUUCUCUUGGUAUAUAUGCAUCUCUUUUUUAGGAAAAUUUAACAUAAAGGAUACCUAAUUAAGUUAGUUUUGAUGAGAUUCUCUUUAUCAUUUGUUUGAUCUAAUUUUUUUUUUUUCCUCUUGUUCAGUUUGCUAACAGAACAGAGGCCAGAAAAGAUCAGGGAGAAUAUUGGAGAGGCUUCGUCAAAGAUAGCGACGUGCCAGAAUCAAUUCAAAUUCAUGUUCGCCAGGAUCCUGUCUCAACUGCCUCUGAUGCCAAAGCCCACUGCAAAGAACCUGAAGAUUUAGAGCACAAGAGAGAAAAGACUUAUGUCAAGGAUUCUGACGCAACGAUUGAUAUCUUAGUUUAUCACAACAGUAUUAAACCAACUGAACAAAAGUUAUUUGGCAACCACUUCGAAAGCCCGGAUGCUACAAUUUACCACAAUGACAUUAAACCAACAGAACAGAAGUUAUUUGGCAACCACUUCGAGUCAAGCCCGGAUGCUACAAUUUACCACAAUGACAUUAAACCAACAGAACAGAAGUUAUUUACCAACCACUUCGAGUCAAGCCCGGAUGCUACAAUUUACCACAAUGAUAUUAAACCAACAGUACAGAAGUUAUUUGCCAACCACUUCGUGUCAAGCCCGGAUGCUACAAUUUACCACAACGAUAUUAAACCAAUUGAAAUGAUUAAAUCUUUUGUUAGCAAAUUCUUGUCAAACCCUGAUGCUACAAUUUAUCAUGAGUAACCAGACUCUGCUUUCAAUCGUGUGGAGAGAGCCCGUUAUCCAUCUGUAAUAUUUGUGCGUACGUGUGAUGCUCUCUUUCUAUAAAUAAGUUAUGAGGAGUGCGGUUGUUUAAUGCUCUAAGGCACAAGCUUUGUAAGAAAGUGUGUUUUUAUUGUAAAAUUGAAUAAAAAUUUGUGCCAAGUUAAUUAAUUAUCCCUUUUCUAGUGAUUUUUUUUUUUCUAAUGCUUUGAUUAUUUCCACAAAAUCUUUUCGUAAGGAAAGGGCCUAGCUACUUGAAUCAAUUUUCUCCAUUUCAACGUUAUUAGUAUAAUAAUAAUACAAAAAAUCAUUAAUCUCAGUAAUUGAUAAACAAUAUUCUUUGCUAUUAUAUUGAGAAUUAAUUCCUAAUCUGAGAAAAUAAAUUAACAAUUAAAAAAUAAUAAAAGAUCGUGAACUACUUAGAUUUAUGGCCCUCUCACAUGUCGAUGGUACUUUACAUAAUUAGAAGCCUUUUUAUUAAUUUUAACAGACACCAUUCAAUCAACUUUGGUGACAUACUGAUAAUUGAUGCAAAAUUCUAUUUGGGGAAAAAAAAGUAAAAGAAAGAACUCCUAUUUUAGCUCUUAAAUCUUAAUUUUUCAAAUUUUAGAAGGAUUAAUGAUCAACAUUAUUUAGCCUAUUUUAUUUAAUUUAUAACUAUAGAAAUCCUAAAGCUGAUGGAGUAUACUUAAUACCUUAUUUUCCCCAAUCACAACCGUCUAAAUUCCUGAAACAUUUCAUUUCUUAAAUUUCAACGGUACAGAUUAAUUCUCUUACGAAAACUCAGCGACUUAUCCUGGACCGCCGCUACUAAAAUACAUAAGAGUAAAAUACUAUAGUAUUCCGGGACAAAUUUAUUUCUUCCACGACGCAAUAAAAUGCUGCGUCCAAUAACAUUCUGUUUCCUAAAGCUUACCCAAAUCGCAGAUAGGAACAUGGUUUGCAAUAAUUUUUCUAACAGAUCCUGCCAUCAAAUUCGUUAAAAACUGGUUUAAUUUUUAUUAAAUAAUUUUAAGUAAAUUGAAUAAGAUAAAAAAUUUAAAAAGUUAUUAUUUUAUAAUGAAAAAGCUAGAUCAUCCAUACGUAAUAAAAAAUAGUACGCAUUCACAACUUAAUGCAAUAUAAUCUAGACAACCAAAUAUAUUUUAUGUAUUUUUUACAAAUUGCUUUUAGUAUAAGCAAAUAAGGUGGUUGUCUAAACAUUCAUAUUUUUGGAAGGUCUCAAUUUUUAAUAUUUUCUUAAUAAUUUUCUAAUUAAUAAAGAUAUUUUUUUAACUUAUGUAUUGUAGAAAAACCUAUUAGACAUUUUUAUUAUUAACAACUAUACUACAAUUAAGAGUCUUUUUUGUAUAGAAAAUCAAUAUUUGUAACCUUAUUGAUAAAGAGAAAUGAUUAAUAAUAUUUUUAACCAUUAAUUCAUUCAUUAUUAGUUUUCUCAAGAAAAAAAGUUAAAUUCUUUACCUUUUCAUUUUCCUAAAAAAAACUUGAUUAUUUAACAUUGAAAUCUUUGACUUUUAUUAUUCCUUUAGUUUCUAUUAGAACCUUAUAAUAUAAAAAAUCAAUAGAUAAAAAAAAUUUGUUCCUCCUUUCUUUACGAAGAAAAUUAUUAUAUUUAUUGGUUAAUUUAAAAAAGAAAAAUUAGUUUCUUGAAGUAUGAAGACCAUAUCUAUUAUCUGAUAAUCAAUUCAUGAUCUCGACUUUCUAGCUAUAUUCUGUCAUUCUAAAUAUUUUAUUUGAAAAUAAUAUUGUUUUUAUUUAUUUGUUUGUUUGCUUUUUAAGAGUUCUGAUGGAAGUAAAAAAAACAAAUCUUUUUUACUAAUUUUUUAGGUUUUUUUUAAAAGAUUUUUUAAGAUAUUUUUUUAUUACUGUUAAAAUUUAAGAAUUAAAGAUAGAAUGAAUUUUUGAGUCUUUUCAUAUUUCUUUGAGUAUUGAAAUUACAAAAUAAAAUAUGGCCUUACAAAAAAAAAAUUCGCCUAAGACCCCAUAUACUCUAAUGCCGACUCUGGGUGAAAUUAUUGAUUUUAUUAAUAAUAAUAUGAUGUAUACUAACCAAUGUACAAAACAGUAGUGGGUGACAUAAAUUAGAAUUGUGUUGCAAAAACAAGAGGUUUGAGUGAAAAAGAAUUUACAAACUCACAUUACAAUGUUAUAUAGUUGCCAUAUGUCUCACAUUUUCAAAUGAACAAAAUAUAAUAAAUACAGUAUAAUCUUUAUAACUGAAUAUUCAAUAGAUUAAUAAUCUCUACUGUGUAAUAAUUUUUUAUGGUCAUGACUUAGGCCAAUAGGUUAAAUUAAUAAUUGCAAUAAAUUAAUAAGAUGAUAUUUUUUAUGAAAACCCUUAUAUAACUAUGUGGCUCCAUUCAUAUCAAAAUUAAUAAUUUUUUAAAAUUAUAAAUAUAAUUGACAAUAAUUUUUUAUUUAUUAAAAUGUGAGUCGAUUAUUAUCUUGUUCCCUUAUUACUUCUUUUCCUUGAAAUAUAAAUCUAUUUGAAUCUCGUAUCUAAUUUUUCUUAUUACAUCUAAAAGUUUUGGGAUUGAAUUCUUGAAUUAUAAUAAAAAAAAAUUAUGAAGUGCUUUCGUACACAUAACUGGCUCCAAAGCAAUUGUAUCAUUCUCAACUUUUAUCAUCGACAUGAUUUUAAGUGAUGUCAGCAGUGGUUUAAUUUAUUCUAAACUUAAAAUCUCUCAACUUACAUCAUUUUUAUUAUGAUAAUCCAAGAGGUAAUUAAGUAGAUAAAUACAAUACAGUUAUUGUUUUGGUUUAUCUAAUAUCUAUUUAGUAGAUUAAUUCAUAUUCAAUAAAUUAGAUUAGUAAAAUAUAACGAAAUUUUAGUUAAUUAAAUGUACGUUUAUUGAACUAUAAAUGAACUCUAGAAAUUAAUAAAUUAUUAAUUUACUAAUUACAUAAUAAUUCUUUUAAUUAAUAAAAUUUAAAUAGUCCCAAUGUUAUUAAUUCAUAGAAGUUAUAUGAAAUAUGUGUCAACUAUAUAAUAUCGUAGUUUGUAAACAAAACAUAACUCUUUUGUUAAUUGAAUACUAACGUAAUGCUAUAGAAAUAACAUAUGUGACCAAUUUGCAUAAAUGUAUACUCUCUGUAUCUUAUUACAAAUGCUUUAUAAAUCAGUGACUCAGAUGUUAUUAUCUAAACUCGUGGAAGCAUUACUUUUGUCCCUGCCAAUAUCAUUCAGAUAAAUAGUUGUUGUGCGUUCAGAUUCACCAGGAAUGCUUACGCAAAACAUAGACUGAACCCAAGAGCUUCGAAACUCGAAACUGAACCAAAUCAUUCUAAUGGAAGAGAAACGCCGGGAAGCCAGAGCGCAACCGGCGGCUACGAGCUCGGCCGCAGCUGGAGCCGAGUCAGCGGCAUCCGAGCCGGCUUCGCUCGGCGCCGAGCCGGAGCGCACAAAAGGAAAGCCUCGGCGCUCUCAGCGACUAACGCUUCAUCCACGCCGUCGAAGCGCAUGACUCGCGAGAAGAAUUUAGUUGCUCACACUCCGAUCUACAACCAUAACGUUACAUCUUGACAUUUGUAGUAAGAACGUGAGAGGAUACCUGGAGUGUAUUGGGAUUUGGGCGGAAGAGAAAGGAGCCCUUGGAAUUGGGAAACAAAUGAAAUUAUCUGCAUGGUCCUUGUACUCGUGGAGGGACUGUAACUUCUGAACCAACAAUGCUGAAAAUGCAGGGUCAAAAAUCAACAUUAACUUGAUGAAUAAUUGUUUGAAAAAAAAAAAAAGCAAGAAAACUUGAUUAAUAUAAAAGAGAGCAAAGGAGCACAACCAUACAGAAGUUGUAUAAAGGAAUAUUAAUCAAGCUUGAUUAAUAUUCUUCUUCUAUCCAACACCACAAGAUGAAACACAGUAUUCCUGUUGCAGUAUAUGGUGAGAACUGUGAAGUGCAGGAAGUAGUUUCCUAAGAGAGAUGAUUGAAUGCUCUUAAUUUUUUUUUUCAGAAAAUCAUUUUAUUUUUAAUAAAAGUUUAAUUUUUUUUAAUAAAAAUUUUUAUUUAUUUUUUAUUAAGUUGUGUCUCAUAUUUACUAAUAAAGGAAGUUAUUUGGGUAUAUAAGUAGGAUGUCUCAUCUAACAUGCUAGUAGGAUAAAUCUCUCAUCUAAUAUGCUAGUAUUUUGGGUUAAAUACCUAUAAAUUCUAAGCCGAGUCCACAACAGUCCCCAAAAUAACUGGAUUUAAGUCCUAGCUACACCAGUAGAUUGAAUAGAAGUGCAAAUAAGUUUAACUUUUUUGUCAUUCAUUUUAGUCUUUUUUUUUUUUUUUUUUCACAUACAUUGAAAAAGGAUAACUCUGUCGUGAUUGCCAUGGCAGAGCCUAUUUCAAACGAUGGUGUAUGCUAAAGGAAAUUAUCAUGAGAUGAGUGAUAAACCAUACAAUCAGUAGCUACAGCCCACGAUUAAUCAGCCACAUGGCCACAAAUAUUAUUGGCGGCAAAUAUAUCAACAAAAUCACAAUAAAGAUGAGCAUCCUCGAUUCCAUUCCUUAAUGUAAAUAGGACAGCCUGUCUAGCCAUUACUUUAAGAGAUUUGGCUGGCUUUGACACUUGUAUAUAAGCUUGUAACCCUCUCAUUCUUUACAAGAAAUAAGAUAAUAUUUUCAGCUUAAUAAUUCUUUUCAGUGAGAUCAAAGAAAUGUAAAGAGAUAUAGUCACUACUACAAAAAUGUAAAACAAUGACCCAUAUGUUAUGACGGUUCUUCUAAACAACCGUCAUUAAAGAUAUUUAAUGACGGUUAUUAUGUGAACAGUCAUAAUAUAUACCACUUAUAAUGACGGUUAUGUAAUAAAACCGUCAUUAAAUGUCAAAUAAAAUUUACACUUAGUUUUAAUGACGGUUCAUUUAUAAAAACCGUCAUUAAAAGUCACUAUUUUUAAUGACGGUUCUUAUAUACAACGGUCAUUAUAUGUGUAGUUAAAAAUAAUAUUACUUUUAAUGACGGUUUUUUAAUAACCGUCAUUAAAAAUAAUAAUUUUUAAUCACGGUUUUUACAUAUAACGGUCAUUAUAUGUGUAAUUAAAAUAGUACUACCUUUAAUGACGGUUUUAAAAAAACCGUCAUUAAUAAUUUUUAAUGACGAUUUUUACAUUAAACGGUCAUUAUAUGUGUAAUUAAAAUAAUACUACCUUUAAUGACGGUUUUGUUAAGAACCGUCAUUAAAAAUAAAUUUAUUUUUAAUGACGGUUCUUAACAAAACCGUCAUUAAAAAUCAUACUUUUUAAUGACCGUUAUAUAUUAUAACGGUCAUUAUAUAUAUAAUUAAAAUGCUUUUAAUUUUAAUGACGGUUCUUUAAGAACCGUCAUUAAAAAUUGACAUUUUUAGUGACAGUUGUAUAAAACAACCGUCAUCGUAUAUAUUGAUAUAGUUAUAAAAAAAAAAAAAAAAUUGGCCUUAUACUGAACACCAAAUCCCUAAAAUUACAGAUAAUUUGUAAACAUUAAAAGUAAUGGCGCAAGCACGCACGCCGCCGGUACACUUAGCCCAUGCAGCAGCAACCGAGCACGGUAGCAACAGGCCACCAGCAGUCGCUCUCUCUCUCACGCACACGCAGCAGCAAGCCAACACCAAUAGCCCCUCUUUCUCAUGCUCACUCUCUACUAUGCCCUCUUACGUACUCAAGAAAACUCUAACCCAUAUCCAAACCCUCGCCGUCGAAGAAAACCCAAUCCUUAAUGGCUUGAAAUUAAAGCCUCCACCGUCAAUCACCAUCGAACCAAAUAAACUCUAGCCUUACCAUCACUCUUCGUUUGACUCGCUGAAGAAAGCACUCUAUUAGGUGAGUCUCUGUUGUUUGAUAAUAUAUCUGCACUCUUUGUUGGCCGAAGCUUUUAGACAAUUGCUUUGAUUCAAUUGCUUCGAUUGGUUAGUUCUCUGUGAUUAAUUAGUUAGUUACUUUUAAUUUCAUAUUUUCAUCUCUAACAGUGAAUUUGGGAGUCGAUUUCUCUGUCGGAUUUGUAAUUUUUGCUACAGAUCAAAAACAUCUUGAAGGUGUUUUCAUAUCUAACAACUUGAACUAUCAUUUAUUUUGUCUUGUUAAUGUUCAAUUUUUUUUUCUUUUUUUAUUAGUAUGACAAUUAGUCGAAUGUGCUUGCACAUAAAACAAUCUUUUAACUUGGCGUUGGAAUAUUUGUUUUGAGUUGUGUCCCCUUAAUCAAUGACCAUACAAAAGUUCCCCAUGAUAAAGUGUUUAGCCCUAUUAAUGCCAUAAAGUCUUGCUCUCAAUUUUUCUGAUUAUGCCUAUGGAUUGAUUACCUAUUUCAUUUACAAAUUCAAUUGGCAAAUGUACAAUGCCUGCAUGACACUCACAUUUGGGUUAUGAUGGUAGUCAUUAUGAGGAAGAAUGUUAGAAUAACAUCAGGGGAAACAUCUGGGAGAAGGUAUGUACUGUCAAGCUCUUUGUUAGAAUCAUCACGAAAUUUAUAUUGGAUCUUGGCUGUUCUAUGUGAUGCAUUUUGGAUUUGCUCUUACUAGACAUGCAAAAACCUGUAAAAUGUAUUUUUUUUUUCCAUUUUAGAUUUACUAUCUAGUAUCUUGUAGGUUUAAUCUAAAAUAGAAACCAUUGAGGAUACUGGACACAAUUCUAAUGAAGAGAAAAGAUGUUAGACUUUAGUAUUCAACCUUUUUUUUUUAGCCAUAUUUCUAGACCCCAAGUUUAUGUCAUGAUAAUUGUGUGAUUGAUAAGAUAUUUUGGUUUUGGACUUUAUCUCAUGGAUUUAGAGUUCGAUUAUAUUUGGAAGUGGAAUAAUGCAUUCAUUUACAUAUGAUGUUUGAUGAAGUUCCCAUAAAAUUAAUUCAAUUAUAUAUGUUUAUGGUUCUAAGGAAGCGGGGCAAAAAUUUUAUCAGUGGGUUGAUUUCACUAGUUUAAGUUAGUAAAGCAAAGAAAUUGUCUUUAUGCACUUUAACUUUCCUCCAUUUAAGGUGAAAAAAUUAUUGAAGCUUUUAGAAGUGAAUUGUUCAUUUUGUUUGUGCACUUAUGCAGAUGGAUUUACUUUUGGCUGCUUAACCCUUCCUCACUUAUAUUUUUUCAGUUUAAAUUGCAGUGUUUUGCUGCUGUGCAACAGCACAAGAGGCUGUUUUAUUGUUGUUUCUGUAAAAACACAGCACCAGGAAGCGUCCAGGUAAUGUUUCGCUGCUGUUAUGCAGUAAAAACAACACCUGAAAGUUUCUAGGUGCUAUUUUUACUGCUGUUUACGCAGAAACACAGCACCUAAAAGUGUCUCUAGGUUCUGUUUAGCUGCUAUUAUGCAGCAAAAACAGCACCUGGAAACUUCCAAGUGCUGUUUUUAUUGCAUUUUAUGCAGAAACAAAGCACCUAGAAGCAUUCAAGGGUUGCUUUACUGUUGUUUUGUAUUUAAAAUUGCUGUUAGAAAUUUUGGGUGCUAUUUCUCUGAAAUUUUGCUAUUAACAGUGCAGCUUAAUAAUUUCAUAUGUCGUUUUGAACCUUCUUCAGUUCUUUUCUCUUAUGUCUAUACUUAAUCUUUUCCCCCCUGGUAAUAAGCAGGUACAAUUUUUGCAAGGUAAUAUCUAAGCAUGCUGUUAAUUCUUUGGUUGAGACGUAGUAUUCUAAACUUCAGGCCUUAAUUUUUUUAUUUCCAAGUGUAUAAUGGGUAGGUACUGGAUCUCUUAUGGAUGAUGUAGUUAAUGCUUUUUUAUUGUCUCUAUUUUGGCAAAUGUGUUGUCAUUUAUUAUCUGAACACAUGGUUGAUUAACUUACUUGAGGUAAGUCUAUUAAUUAAUAGUGAUAUGAUACUUUAAAGUCUUGUUUUACAACUUAAGUCACUAAAAUGAUUUAAUAUUUAUGAUUUAUAAUAUAUGAAUAUAUCUUAAUUUCUCUUUAUUCUUUGUAAGAAUGAUGUAGAUUGCUGAAGCUGGUGAGAUUCAUUUGCAAUUGAAGACUUGAUGAGAAAUUAGAUGUACUCACACAUGCCAAUCUUGUUGGUUGCUAGUGCAUUCACUAGUAGAAGUUUAAUGAUUGUUGGAGAUUUUUGUAGAGCUAUCUCUUUGUAAAUGAAACAUUUGCAUCAUUUUGAAUAUGAAACAUUUGUGAAAAAUAAUUGUAAAGAAUUUAAUAUGAAAUUAGAAUUAAAAUAGGGGCUUGAAAUAGCCUUAAAUUUGCCAAAUUUAUUUUUUUAAUAAUAAAUAACAAAGAUGACGGUUAUUUCAAAAGAACCGUCAUCAAAUGUAGUGUUCUAUAACAAAUAUGACGGUUUUCUUCUAAAACCGUCAUUAAAUGUUGUUUCAAUAUUUAAUGACGGUUCUUACAAUAAACCGUCAUUAAAAUGACACAUUUAAUGACGAUUAUUUAGAUAAACCGUCAUUAAAGAUAGAUAUUUAAUGACGGUUCUUACAAUAAACCGUCAUUAAAAUGACACAUUUAAUGACGGUUAUUUAAAUAACCGUAAUUAAAAAUAUACAUUUAAUGACGGUUAGUGAACCGUCAUAAAAAACAUACCCUCUUUAAUGUCGGUGCCUAAGAUGACGGUUUUAAAACCGUCAUCUUAUGUCGUUUAAAACCGUCAUAAAAGACCAAUUUUGUAGUAGUGAGUCUAUUAGGUUGGCAAAUCUACUGAAACAAUAUUGUUUCCUAUCAACUCCGAAAUACAACCAAUUGAACAACGUUCAGAAAUCGAAAAUCAUUUAUUACCAGUAAGAUUUAUUAUUAUACGCUAUACAUAUGGCUUUAACAGUCACAUUACCAAUACAUUUUUAAUCAUGGUAGGUAGGUGCUGGAAUGUAUACAAUAUUAUCAGCCUGGAAGAAAUGGCAGACAUGGGAGCUCCCUGGCUCGAUCCCAAGCACACGAAACGAUGCAUGAUCUCGACUCCAAUGAGACGUAUCCAUGUGGCAAACUGCUACAGCUUCCACUCUAUCUCCAUUAUCACCACCUAAUGAAACACCGAAUAACUUGUUCUCAGUCAUUUGGCUGUGGCAGUAGAAGAUUGCAUAAGGGUAAGGCAUGAUAUGACAUGCCACCAUCUUGGGAGCAACCAUUGGUUUAGGCACUUGUAAAAUAGUGUAAUUUUGGAAAAUGGUAGCUGAUUUUGUGAGAAAUUUUGUGCUUAGAACUUCGAAUUUGGUCUCCAAUCCGAAAGUUCCGUGUACAAAAUCAAGCAUGGAUUCCAAAGAGGUAGCACAAAUUUUGGUUUCUCCUUCGAUGGGAGGAACUUCGCAAUGAUUCAGGGUCCCUUCCAUGGCUUUGGCUAGGGGUGAGUCAUCUGAGAACGAGAAGAAUUGAAGAAGGUAAGGCAGUUGUUUCAAUGAAAAUGGAAUGGAAUCUGCUUCUUCUCUAGGCAAAGCCUGAGGAUAAGCUGAAGGAUCUCUCUUGCGAAAAAUAAAUCGGCAUCGUUUCGCCAAUCUUUAGAUCCUUCAAGGUGAAGAACACCAUCGUUGAAGGGUCCAUGUGAUUCAUGUGGGAUGGUAUUGAAUGAGAAUCAUGAAGAUUCUCCGAAAGCACCUGAGCACACUGUAAAACAGUUGAGCAAUUCAAUAUGACAACAUAGAUGAAAAAUCAACAACACAAGUUCUAUAAAGUGUAAAACUGAAGGAGCAAAAUAUAUCUUUUUGAGUUAUUGCUUUAAGACAACACUUAUGUACAUCUAUUGCAAAGUAAGCACUUCCUUAGCACACAUUGAGGAUUAUUACCAGAAAGAGUAGAGAAAGAAGGAGGUUCCAAACUGAAAAUCUUAACCCCAUCUCUUUUCUAUUAUCGAAGUUUCUUAUGUAUUUUAGUAAUCUUUUUGUUUUUUUUUUUAAGGGAGAGGAAACACAGAUAACAAGUGAAGCAGAAAGAGAAGAGAUUGUGUAACUGUAUAUGUCAACAACCAAAUGAUGUGUGUUAAUUUUCAAGUGGAAAUUUAUAGCCUGCAUAAGCUGAACUUGUUCUACUGUGCUGAUUAAUUGAAUCACAACACAGUUUGAAUAAUGACCUUAAUAGUCCAAUCCAGCAAAGAAUUCAGCACUCCAAUCAUUUGGGGACACACGUAUUGCACCUUCAUCAGGUCUGCGGAUUUUAAUAGUUUUGACUGAGUGAAUGAUUACUUCAAUUGAUAACAUUGCAUAUUAGAUUACCAGACCUAAAAUUGAUUUCUUAUUAAAAAAUUUACUUGCAAUUUGGAAACUCUCUUUGACACAUUAAUUACAGACUCGAAAUCUGUAUCAAUAUUCCCCAUACAUAGACAGAACUGAGCAUAAAAAGUGGGAAGGCAGAUCGUAAACAAAUUCGACAUGGUAGUUUCCAAGGAUGAAUAGCAUUUUUUUCAUUCAAAAAUGGGAUAAUAUAUCCUUCAGUCACGUAAUGUACACUAAGGCGGCGUUUGGUUGGGAGGAGAGAACAAAGAAGAGGAAAGUAAUUUAAAUUUUCUUUUUAUUUUCAUUGUUUGGUUUGAUAAAAUAUAUAAGAAUUUAAUUUCCAUUAGAAUUUAAUAUCCAUCAUAAUUUGAAUUCCACACCAAGUAGUGAAGAAUUUAAAUUCCUCUUAUGUUAGAAACUAAAGUUUCCAAAAUUACCCUUCAACUUGUUUAAUGUCAUUAAUAAUUAUUAUUUAAUAUUAUAAAUGGAUCACCGCCGGAAAGUCGCCGGACUACCGCCGGAAAGUCACUGGAAAGUUACCGGGCCACCUCGGAAUGUUGCCGGAAAGUCACCAGACCACUGCCGAAAGUUGCCGGACGUCGCCAAAAUCCUGCCGAACGUUGCCAUAAGGUAGUUUCCAAGGAUGAAUAGCAUUUUUUUUUCAUUCGAGAAUGGGAUAAUUUAUCCUUCAGUCACGUAAUGUACACUAAAGCUCUUCUCAACCUAGUGUGCGUCGGAUAUGUGAGCGUCGGGGCUCCAAUCUCCCGUACAAUCUUUAAAAUUUUGUUUGGUCAAAUUAACAGGCUGCACUCACUGUAUUUCCAUGGAUCACACUACUUCAACUAAAAGAUAAGAUAAUAAGUAUCUUUAGGAUUUUACUGAAUGAUUUUUAAGUAGUUUUUAUUAAUUAAUUAUUCAAAUUCGAAUUAAAAAAAGACUAAAAAAUUCAUCUGAAUUUUUCUCACUCCCAAUCUUUAAAAAUAAAACAAAUAAUAAGUCAUAUAAACAAUAUUUUAAAUGCAAUUUUCACUUCAAACAUAUUUCAUUUGAAGUUUAAUUAUAUUCUCCGAUGGAACCUGGAUAAGUUGAAAAAAAAUUUAUUAAUAAAAAAAAUGUACAUCUAAUUGUCUAACGAUGGGUCAAGAACAAAAGGUUAAAAGAUAAUAUACGUGGACAUGAUAAUGCAGAAACCGAAAAUCAAAAGGGCACGAGUUUCAAAUGCUAGACAAAUGAAAGAGACGUGUGAUUGCAGGUCGAUUUUCUUCUCAUCACUAGCCACUAGUGUUGUGCGCGGAAUGCGGAAUCAAGCGCACCAAAUAAUUAUUGAAAAAUAAAGGACACAAGAAUUUACGUGGUUCGGUAAUUAAACCUACAUCCACGGAGACAAGAAAGAAUAAUUGUUUAUUUAACAAUUAAUAGAAUACAAUAUUUGAGUAACGAAUCUCACUUCCCAGAAAACCCAAAUAUACCCAGUACUCUCACACUCUGCAAGAAAGAUAAAUUCCCCAGACACACUUCUCUCACUUCUCUCAAAAGCUUAGAAACUUAUAAGCUUGACAAUUUUGGGAUGAUUUCAAAUGAAUGAAAUCCUUAGCUAUUUAUAGACUUGAAGCUAGUAUUAUUCCACCUAACCCAAGUACUAUUUCACCUAACCCAAGCACUAUUCCACCUAACCCAUGCAAAUAUGUCAAUGGUGUCCAUUUGGCAAAUUUGACAAAUUUGCCAACUUUCCAUUUUUUCUUCAAAUGUUUGGUAGCUCUUUGAAAAAUUGCCACAUGCAUGACUUUUCAACAAUUCUCCACCUCGGCGAAAAUUUGUCCAAAUCUGAGCCGACUACCAACGAACCCUCAUCCCCAAAGUGAUCCUUCAAUAAGGAUCCAGAAUGACUGUGUCGAUUCGACUGUCUACGUACCCAAAAUUUGGGAUCAAGCCAACCGUAGUUCAAAAAUUCUCCAAACUCAACGCAUUCGAAGAAUUAGUUUCAAUCCGUAUAAAGAUUUACUCAAUCUGCACACACGAUUUUCCUUUCCAGCAACUCUGAAACCACAAGGCUGAAUCAUAUAGAUUUUCUCCUCUAAAUCUCCAUGUAAGAACGCCGUCUUAACAUCCAACUGAGCUAACUCUAACUCAUAUUCUGCAACUAAGGCAAGUAGGAUACGAAUGGAAGUAUGUUUUACAAUUGGAGAGAAAACUUCAUUGUAGUCCAUACCUUCCUUUUGAGCAAAACCUUUUGCCACGAGCCUUGCCUUGUAUCGAGGAGUUGUUUGAUUCGGAGAUCCUUGCUUUUUGGUGUAGACCCAUUUAUUGCCAAUAGCCCUUUUCCCCUUUGGUAACUUUACAAGUUCCCAAGUCUGGUUUUGAUGGAGAGAUUUCAUCUCUUCCUCCAUGGCUAGCUUCCACUGAUCACUUUCAUUGCUGCGUAAUGCUUCACCGAAAGUAUUGGGGAUGUCAUCAUCAAUAACUGAAAGUGCAUAGGCUACCACCAUAUCUUUAGUAAGCCAUCCGGGUUUUUUUAUCUCUCUUUUUGGCCUCCUUGUUGCUAUAAAAUCAUCAUCAUCUACAUCAUCAAUUGUUUUUUCAUUUUGUGGGACAUCAGAAGAAACAACCUCUUCUUCAACUUUAGGUGUCACCUCCAUAGUUGAACCAUUCUUUGAUGUAGAACUAACUUGUACAUAUGGAGUUGCAUCAAACUCCACCCGCUGCAAUACCUCUGUGGUCUUGUUCUCCACCUGCUGAGAACUUGAAGCUUUUAUCAUUGAAGCUUCAUCAAAUGUGACAUCUCCGCUACACACAAACUUUUUGUCUUCGAGAUCCCAAAGCUUGAAGCCCUUUACUCCACCUUUGAAUCCCACAAAGAUAGAUUUUUUAGCACGAGGAUCCAGUUUACCAUCUUUGACAUGAUAAUAAGCUGGACACCCGAAUACACGAAGGGAAUCAUAGUCUUGUGCAUGCUUUCCAGACCCCAUUUCCAUAUGAGUUUUACCUCCAAUUGCAGCAGAAGGCAACCGAUUUACCAAGUGACUUGCGUAGCUCACAGUUUCAGCCCAAAACUUUUUAUCUAAACCAGCAUUAGAUAACAUACAUCGUACCUUCUCCAGUAAAGUACGAUUCAUACGCUCAGCCACACCGUUCUGUUGCGGAGUAUGUCUCACCGUGAAAUGUCUUUUAAUACCCUCGUUCUGGCAUACUUGCAAGAAUGGAUCAGAAGUAUAUUCACCCCCAUUAUCAGAUCGUAAUACUUUGAUCUUUCUGCCAGUUUGAGUCUCCACCAAUUUCUUCCACUUCACGAAAAUCUUUAGAACCUCAUCCUUUGCUCGCAUGGUGUACACCCAUACACGUCUAGAGAAAUCAUCAACAAAUAUAACAAAAUAAUGGCUUCCACCAAUUGAUGCAGUCUUGGUUGGUCCCCAUACAUCACUAUGAACAUAUUCAAGGAUCUCACGAGUAUCGUGAUUAGCUGUACCAAACUUGACCCUUGUUUUCUUGCCUACUACACAAUGCUCACAGAAAUUUAAUUUACAGGUUUUGGUACCUUUUAAGAGUCCAUGCCUCAUCAGAGUUUGCAAAGACUUCUCUCCUGCAUGUCCCAGUCGUACAUGCCAUAGCUUGGUGGUGUCACUGUGCGCCUCAACAACAUUUGCUUCAUCAGUUGUACCUCUCUUCAAAUAGUACAAAUUGUGACGCCGAACCCCUUGCAGAAUCAUCAUAGCCCCAUGUGUAAACUUCAUUGUGCCAUCUUCAAUGGUAACUUUGUAACCUUUAGCUUCCAAAGCACCCACAGAAAUUAGAUUUUUCUUUAUCUCUGGAACAAAUCUAACCUAUUUGAGUUCUCUGACCAUUCCAUCAAACAUUUUGAGCCGAAUUGUUUCUAUCCCCAUUGUGCGACAAGGUUGAUUAUUCCCCAUCAUAACUGCACCGGAUUCCAGAUUACGAAAAUCCGUAAACCAUUCCUUAAUAGGACACAAAUGAUAGGUUGCUCCAGUAUCAAGUGUCCACUCACUCGAACUAGCCACGUAUGCUGCAGGAGUAAUACUUAGUGAAUAAUCAGAGUUCUCAUCUUUCCGUGCCAUGUUUACUGCUGCUGGUUUCUUCCCAUCUCUCUUUUGAGCCUUUGGACAAUCUUUUCUCCAAUGACCCUUUUCAUGAAAAAAGGCACACUCAUCUCGAGCUAUAUUUCUGCUUCUUGAUUUGGAUCAAGAAUUCAUUCCACCACGGUUCUUCUGUUUCUCCAUCGCCCAAUCUCUGCUCACCAAAGCUUCAGACGAUGCUCGUUCAGAAUUUUUAUCAUUAUUCUGAAUCUCCAAACUAGUCAAUGCUGUGCAAACAUCUUUAAAGACGAUCACACUCUUCCCAUAUAUCAAAGUAGUCACAAAAUGGCUAUAUUCCUCUGGUAGUGAGUGUAACAGAAUCAUAGCCUUAACUUCAUCUUUAAUAUCUUCAUCAAGAUUCUUCAAAUCAGCAAGUAACUUUUCAAAUCUUGAAACAUGAUCGUGCAUUGACACCCCAGGCUUCAUUCGAAAACCAUAUACUUGGCUCAUUACAUGAAGGCGAUUUUCAGGACUUUUCACCAGGUACUUCUCCUCCAAUGUACGCCACAAAGUCACCGCACACUCCUCAUCUUUCACCAAGUAUUUCACCUCCUUGGUCAAACAAGAUCUGAUAUGACCACAAGUUUUUUCGUUCAUACGAUCCCAAAUUUCUUCAUCAUACAAGUGCCUUUUAUUUUUUAGAACAACAUCGAGAUCGAUUUGAAUAAGGGCAUCCAUAACUUCGCGCCUCCACAUGCCGAAGUUGAUUUUCCCAUCAAACUUUUCAACAUCGAUCUUUUGGCCUCCUAUAACAUGUGCUGAAUAGCGAUUUGAUAAAUCUCGCCUCCCACCUGAAGUGUCUCCUGAAAUAGUCUCGGUAGAUAUCUCCCUAAUUCUGGAAGUUUCACCUUCUACCAUUUUCUCAACGAACUAUUUCCACUUAAAAAACAGUCUCUAUGAUGUUAAUUUCGCGUGAAUAAAUGCACCAGGAAAGUUCCCAGGAAACUGGACGGGAACUCGGUCCCAAUUAAAAACCAGAAUCCUUAGACUCUUAUCGCCUUUUUUGACAGAACUUUCCUAGACAUGCAAAAAUACACACUACUUACAAUAGACUGUCUCCCAAGUACAAAUGGCCGUCUCCACCGUAUUCGUAAAUAGUGCCGUAUAUGUGAACAGUACCGUAUACGUGAACAAUACCGUAUACGUGAACAGUACUGUAUCCCCCCAAGUACGAACCGUCGGCUCUGAUACCACUUGUUGUGCGCGGAAUGCGGAAUCAAGCGCACCAAAUAAUUACUGAAAAAUAAAGGACACAAGAAUUUACGUGGUUCGGUAAUUAAACCUACAUCCACGGAGGCAAGAAAGAAUAAUUGUUUAUUUAACAAUUAAUAGAAUACAAUAUUUGAGUAACGAAUCUCACUUCCCAGAAAACCCAAAUAUAUCCAGUACUCUCACACUCUGCAGGAAAGAUAAAUUCCCCAGACACACUUCUCUCAAAAGCUUAGAAACUUAUAAGCUUAACAAUUUUGGGAUGAUUUCAAAUGAAUGAAAUCCUUAGCUAUUUAUAGACUUGAAGCUAGUACUAUUCCACCUAACCCAAGUACUAUUUCACCUAACCCAAGCAUUAUUCCACCUAACCCAUGCAAAUAUGUCAAUGGUGUCCAUUUGGUAAAUUUAACAAAUUUACCAACUUUCCAUUUUUUCUUCAAAUGUUUGAUAGCUCUUUGAAAAAUUGCCACAUGCAUGACUUUUCAACAACUAGCACACAUCCCCUUAAUCAAAAUCUUUUUCAAUAUUGUUUAUUAUAUAAAUGGAUAUUGGUAGUGGUUGAACUUCUAUUAUUUAAUUAUGUUGUCAUUUUCCAUCACUACAACAACAGAUGAUUCAAGUAGGAUCGAUCAAUAAUUGUCGCCCAAUGUUUUGUCUUUUUCAUAAUUUAGUUAUUUUUGUUCAUAUGUCUGACGAAGAAGUUUUAAUUUUGCAAGAGGAAUUCAAGUUGAUAAGACCUUGUCGACUUGUCUUCUGCUGAAGAAUCUUGAAUAAUCAUGCCAAAUUCAAAAAGUGGCAAAAGCAAAAGGCUAAGUUCUUAAUGAAUUCAAUAUUAUUACGAAUUUGGUGCUAGCUCAAUCUUGAAAAUGAUCCAAAAAUUAAAAAGUAAACAUAUAAUAAUCACAUCUACAAAUGUACAUUAUUAGUGAGUCAUUGAUGAUAUCCCAUCACGAAUUCAUUAGCUGACUAAUUAAAGAUACCACGAAAAUAUUAUAUCAUUAGCUGGUCUAAAAAAGUAGUCAAUAAGAAAAUGAAAGGUAAAUUCAUAAAUUUCAGCCGGAAUUUUUUUUUUUUUUUUAAAAGGACCAAUAAUUGUAGGAAAUGGCUAGCUUCUUAUCCUCUUCACAAAAGAUUAAAUCCUCUUGAAAAGGUUUGUUACUGAAAUACAUAUCAUAUUACACCAACACUCUCUAUUACCAUAUGAAUUUAGAUCUUCCCCUAACUUAAUAUUUCAUAUAAUAUUGUAGGAAUAAUCUUCAUCACCGGAGAUUAGGAUCUUCUCCUAACUUAAUAUCUCAUAAGUGUUGUAUGAGAUUAUUUAGCUCAUGUCAUUAUAUUUUUCUAAAGCUAGGAUUUAAUUUACUUUAUACUUUCCUUAUUAAACAUUAAAACCAAUAAUUUUCUAGGCUAAGUAAAACCAUGAAAUUCAAGUGUGCCGCUUUCUAACCAAACUGCUGCUUCUUUCUCUACCGUUUUUUUUUUUUUUUUUUGGUCACAAACUUUAAACUGUGGUAUAUAUAAACUUGAGCAAAGAAGCAUUAUUGGUAGGAUUGGCAAUGAGACGGGAUGGGAUGAGAUUUACCAAUCCCACUCCCGUCCCGCAUAUAUAAUUGAGAUAAAAAAAUGUCUCACUCCCAUCCUUCAAUUUUUUUAUGGGACCAAAAUAUAUCCCAAUCCUGUCCCAAAUUGCCAUCCCUAAUUAUUGGCAAUUCAUUCUUUUAAGAAUUGUUUAUGUAAUGGAAUCAGACCAGAACAGAAUGCAUUAUUGUUCGAUAUACGUAGUCUACAAUAACAAUUGAAGACACCUGAAGAUAAUAUCAAUUAUAGACAAUUGUUAUUGCAAUAUAUUCAAUGCAUUGUUGCUAUCGCUUGUCUGCAAUUAAUUUUAUAUAAAUUAAGCUGAUAUAUCUCAUUUCAGUGUACUAAUAAUUAAGUUGAACGUUGAUGCAGCUACUGCUAUUUCCAGGAACACAGCUUUCUAGGAGCCAUUAUUCGUAAUGUGAGAAGGGAGAUUAAUUAUGGCAGUAGCUAUCUAAAGUAAAAUUUUGGAGAUCUUGAAUUCGCAGAAGCAGAAGCAAUGAGAUUUGGGAUCGAAAUAUGCAAACGGCACAGGUCUAUUUCCAUUCAUUAUUGAAUCAGAUACUAAGAAUGUUGUCAAUCUUGCUGCAGCACUUGAAAGUACUAGAAAAGAGAUUCUUUGAGUGAUAUAUCUCUGAUAUUUAAUUGUUGGCUAGACAACUGGCAAUUUCAAAUUUGUAUUCAUUCCUAGAAUAUGUAACGUGGAAGUUCAUAGAUUAGCUAAACUUGCAGUUAGCGAUCAGAAAGCCGUAUUGUUUGGAUUGAGAAUAUUCCUAUAGAUGUAAAAUCUUAUCAUUUUUGAAGAAUUUUUUACUUUGAAAAUAAAAUAAUUAAGGGCCAUCUCUAUCGUUGCGAAUUGUAACUCGUAGACUUUGCGGUCCACAUUAUGAAUUUAAAAUUCUUGCAUGAUUAAUCACCCACAUGAGCAUGCUCCCCCAACCUGCCACAUCAUGUUACCACUUCUUCCAAUCUGUGUAUACACACACACACACACACACACCAGUAUGGCCUCCAUGCAAAUCACAAACGCAGUAUCUAAUAUUGUUUGUCACUGGCAAGAAACAUGAAUAUUAAAGCCUUCUUUGUUCUCUCCACAGUGCUCUCAUUGCUUCUCUUGUUAUGUAUCAUUUGAUCAGUAAUAAUGUUAGGUUAAUCACAAAUUCAUUAUAUAAAAUAUUUUGUACAAAAUUGAUAACACAUAAUGUACAGUAUCGAUGUGAUAAGAACACCACACAACCCGAUCAUUAUUUUAUAUUUCCAUUCAACCAAUACUAUUUUAUCACAUCAGCUUUAAGAGUAGCUUAAUUAUAGCUAGCUCUAGCAUUACUCGUUUUGAUUCAAAUGAUUUUCGAAUUUUUAUCAUUUGCAUGGUCAAUAUAUAGUUCCUCUCUCUUUUUUUUAUUUUUUAUUAAUUGUUUUCCUUGUGUGCAGUUUGCCAACAUGAUAGAUGCAAGAAAAUACCAUGGAGACGAUUGGAGUAUUGUCGUGAAAAAUCAAGACAUGCCUUGGGAAUCAACUCAAGGUCUCAUUCCCGAAGUUCAAGGCCCGACCAUCUCUAAAACCAAAGCCUAUUGCCAUACACAUGAUGAUUCUGAGCACACCAUGGAGAAGCCUUUUGUCAAUAAGAACUUUGAGCUGAUGCCUGAUGUUUCAAUCUAUGACAACGGUAUUAAGCCAACCAAACAAAAGGCUUUUGCCAAGCACUUCGAGUUCUUGCCUGAUGUUUCAAUUUACGACAACGGUAUUAAGCCAACCAAACAAAAGUUCUUCGCCAAGGACUUCGAGCUCAUGCCUGAUGUUUCUAUUUAUGACAAUGGUGUAAAGCUAGCCAAACAAAGGUUCUCCGCCAAGGACUUCGAACUCAUACCUGAUAUUUCAAUUUAUAACAAUGGUGUAGAGCUAGCCAAACAGAAGGCAUUCGCCAAAGGCUUCGAGCUCAUGCCUGAUGUUUCAAUUUAUGACAAUGAUAUUAAACCAACGAAGAAGAGUUCAUAUGCCAAGGACUUUGAGCUGAAGGCUGAUAUUUCAAUUCAUGAACCGACCGAACAAAAAUAGGUAAUUAGCAUUACGGAUCUGCAGCCAGAUGCUACAAUUUAUCAUAAUUAAAUAGAUGAUCAUGCUUGUAAUCAGGCGCAGGAUGGAGUCUCUUACCAUAUUUAAUGUUCUAGAAGAGUAGCCACAUACGUGCAAUAACGCUUUCCUUGUUUGUGUGUGUUGUCAAAAGCGCUGUUUCUAAAGUAAUGUAAUAAGUGCUGAAAUAACCCAUGCAAUAAAAUCAUGUCAUGCGUCUUUAAUUUUUUUUUUCUCUCUCUCUUAAACAAUCUUAUGAUAGAUUAUUUACAAGUUAUAAUUUAUAAAGAGAGAAACUAUAUUAAAAUAAUGCUUUUUACAUAAAUAUUCUAUCCAUUAAUCUCGUAUAGCUAAUUAAGUUUGUUUUUUUUUUUUUUAUUUACAACGACAUCCUUAGAUGUUUAAAUUGUUUUUUUUUUAAAGGUAAAAGGGUUGGGUCAAUCAAAAUUAAUUUUUUCACCCUGAUCUCUUUGAGAUUCGAACUUAGGUGGCUAGCUAACUAAGAUUAUUUGAAACCAUUCGGUUGGGUUUCUAGGGGCCUUGGAUGUUUAAAAUUUGUAUUUUGAAUUGUUAUUCAGAUGGAACAAUAUAAUUAACUUUAAUUUCAAAGUCAAUUUGACCCUAUUUAAUUUUGAGAUGCUGUUACUUUUAAACUAGCUACUUGGGAAAAAAAAAAAGUCGUAACCUUAAAAUAAAAAGUGAUACUGUGUGGAAAAUAUGAUUUUAAAUAAUAAUUUUGACAAAAUAGCAAAGAAAUAUUAUUUAAAUUAUUAUUACCAGCCAAACAAAAAUAGGUUUUUUAUUAUACAAAUGCAAGAUCAAAUCAACUUAAUUUUUGAGUUACAACAACUACUACUUACUAAACACUUUGAUGUCAAUACCAAAUAGGCCUCUUUUUUCCUCUCCCUCUCUAAUUUGUAAGACUACCCAACCAUAUAUUGUAUAAUAUUCAAUUAUUAUAUUAACUAGUUUUAUUUUCUUAUGAUCACAUGAUAUCUUUUUUUUUUUCAAGAAUCUGAACAGAUAAUGGUUUUAAAGCUCAGAAGUAGAUCUGAUUCUAAAUAUUUGGAAAUUGAAAAAAAAAAAAAAACUAAUUCACAUUUGCAGAAGAAGGUAUGUACUUGAUAACUUGAACGCCAUGAUGGUAUAUAAUUAAAUUUAACUAUUGUUAUAUUUUUAUUUAUUAAUCACUAAUUAUUCACGAUGAAUUUUAUUUGAAUAAGUUCAUAUCAUGAUAGAAUCUUAAUUCAAAUACAUAUGAAAAAAAAAAAUCUAUGACUGCACUAAUAAGAUAUUUCAUUUAAUCAUGUGAUAUUAAAAUGAAAAUUAUGAUAGAUAAACUUAAAUUUUCCAUUUUCCCCCCUUUAUCAUCUCACAUGGGCCACUUCAAUUCGCUGAAAUCCUGAUGCUUCGGCCUCCAGAUGUAAAAGAACAUGAGUCACAUAUAGUAUUGGUAGAUGCGUGAAUGGAUCACAUCUCACUCAACCAACAAAUUGCAUGUCAUCUGGAAAAUGAUUUAAAUAAAUGAACAAAUACUCAGUCCUCUAUUUUAAGUUAAGUAUUUGUUUAUUCCUUAUAUUUUAAAAAUAUCUCAAAAUAAGUUGUAGUUAAAUAUAUUACAUUCUUAAUCUUGUUUUUGCUUUGCUUUUAUAAUAAUGCCCUUAUAAUAAUAUUCUUGACAUUAAUUAAUUUAUCUAUAAAAUUUUAAUUAGAAAAUUAACCAAUAAUUAUUUAGUAAUAAAUUAACCAAUAAAUAUUAGUACAAAAGAACUAAUAUUUUUUGUACAUGUGCGACAAUCGUGCUAAUAAUUUAUUUAUAAAUAAAAUUAAUAUUAGUCAACUUAAAGUAAUGCUUAUCAUCCUUGCAAUAAUUUUACUAAUAAUUAUUUUAUAAAAAAUUAAUUUACCAAAUUAAUCCUAAAAGUAAAAUAAUAACAUAAAAAAAAAUUACUGUAAAAAUUUUUAUGCUACUUUGAAGGCUAAUUUGAUAAAGAAUGGAACUACUAGCACUCCUUCAAAAUCUUUUUUAAGACCCCUUUUUAAAUACACCCAAUCAAAUAAAUGAAAAAUUAUAUCACUUCUAAAAACAACCAUCUUUAUUCCACAAUUGUCCUUCAAUCUUAUCUCUCAUAAAAUGAUAAAAUUACAAAAAUAAAAAUCUUUUUGUGGAUACUAUUGCAAUAAUGAUCAUUAGCAUUCUUCACAAAUUUGAUUAACAAGUAUGGAAUGGUAUGUAACUUUAGAUUUCUAAAUUUUAACUUUUCUUUAUGUUUUGCAACAAAUAUACCUUCUAUUUUAAUAUAUGAUACCUAUUAAUUUAAUUUUUUUCAAAUAACAAAACUCACUUGUUCAAACAAACAAUGAGACCAAAAAAAGCAAGGGAAAAAAAGUGAACAAAUAAAAGGUAGAACUACUUGACACAUAAAAACUUUAAAAAAAAAUGAAAAAGAAGAGAUCUAGUAAAAGAAGUAUGAGUAUAAAAUAAGCCAGGCAAUGAAAGAAUCAUAGCUUUUCGACAAAUUCCAUGUCAAUGUCCUUUUGGAAUAAAUUUUUAAUGUUAUCUAUUUGAAUAAUGAUGGUGGUUGAGUUUCCACUUUCCAUUAUGCUCUCGAAUGUAAGCUUCUGAUGCGUCUUCUAAAAUAAUUCUAGAUAUUUUAUUUUAAAUUUAUUUGAAUUUGUAAGUUACCCUUUUAAUUGCGGUUAUCAUGUAAACAAUUGUUGCCAAAUCAUAAACAAAAUCCUGAGUAGGGACGAUAAUGGGACGGUUUUGAUCGAUGAUCCACUUAAUCUAAAUCUAAAUUUAUCAUAUUUGGAUCAGUAUAAAAUGAAUUUGGAGUGGGUACAUAUGAAUCUAGAUGAGUAAAUUCAAAACAAAUUUAAAGCACGUAUACAAAUCUAACUUAAAAUUCGGAUCCGUAUCCAUAUCUAAUUAGAAAUCUUUUAAUUUUAUUUUAUUUUUAAAAGUAUUAAACUAUCGAUGGUUUAAUACUUUUACAAUCAAAUUAAACUUAUACCUAGCUUACUGAAAUCAUACCACAUUUAUGAGAUGCAAUAUAUUAUCAGUUUUAUAUGAAAUUCAAAGUAUUAUUUUUAAUUUUAUUUAAGAUGAAUUAUGUGUUUUAGUUGAUAGUAAGACGUUUUUUUCUCAAAUAUUUUUGUGCUCUUAUUAUUCUUAUGAGGCUUGAAAGUUUAAUAAGAUAAAUUUAUUAAUAUUCUAUUAUAAUAUAUAAAAUUUUAAAAUUAAAAAUUGAUAAAUCCAAGAUAGAUUUGGAGCAAAUCCGAACCUUUAUUUUAAAUUUGAACUUAAAUAUACAGUAAAAAUCAUAAAUCUAUAAUGAAUUUAGAGUAAAUACAAAUCUCAAUUUUUAUUAUUAAUCAAGAAUUAGAACAGAAUAGAUCCAGCUGAUAUAUAUGUCCCAUUGUCAUCCCUGUGACUGAUGAAAAGAUAUAGGAAAAUAAACAGGAGUUUAAUAAGCUAGACAAUAAAAGAAUCAUAUAUAGCAAUGAUUGAUUCUUUCUUCCUAUCCUUAUGAAAUCUUUCUCAAUGUCUUUUCUACGAAAUCUUUUUUAAUGUCCUUUUCGAAAAUAUCACCCUUCAGCCAAUGACUUUGAGCUGAAGGCUGGUAUUUCAAUUCAUGAACCAACCGAACAAAAAUCGUUUGUCAACAAUAUGGAUCAGCAGCCAGAAGCUACAAUUUAUCAUUAUUAAAUAGGUGAUCAUGCUUGCAACCAGGCGCAGGACAGAGUCUCUGACCAUAUUUAAAUGUUGUAGAAGCGUAGCCAUAUAUAUGAAACGUUUCACUUUGUUUUCGUAUGUUAUCAAAGGCUCAGUUUUAAAAGUAAUAUUGUAAUAAGUAUUGAAGUGUCCCAUGCAAUAAAAUCGAAGUGUCCCAUGCAACAAAAUCAUGUCAUGCGUCUUAAAUUUAUUUUGCCCUCUUAUUUAUCCUAGAUGGUAAAUACUGUUAUGAUAGAUUAUUCAAAAGGUUAUAAGGGGAGAAGAUAAGUUUAUUUUUUUUUGGGGAAAAACAUUUCCUUGCUGAAAAAAGCAAAAAUUUACAUAAGUACUGCAAUGUCUGUGGGCGGCUCUUCCAACUGAAUAAGAUCGUUAAUCAAAGAGAGUGCUAAUUUUGCUAACUGAUAAGAAACUGUAUUACAAUUUCUAAUUUCUGAAAUGAUCCAUUCAAUCUCCUUUCUACUUGAUAAAACGCCCGUAAUUAGAUGGACAAGAUUUACUGAAUCAAAUUCCACAAUAAAAAGAGUUAAGCAUAAAUCUAUCGCCGGCUUGAUGCCUUCUAGGAUAGCUUCAGCCUCUGCAAACUCGAUGUCGCUAAGAAAAGAUUUCUUGUGGCUGAGCCAGCUAUAAAAUCUCCCUUGAAAUUUCCUAUAAUUGCACCCAAACCUGUAAUUCCAUUGGAGAUGUCAAUCGGUGCAUCAACGUUCAAGUUGUACCAAUGAUUAUCCGGUGGAAUCCAACUAACACCCUUCUUGGUUGGAGGGACUAGAAACUCUUGAAUUGGAGAGCCUUGAGCAGCAGUGUACGAAUUCAAAACAGCUUCAGCCUUGCAAAGAACACUCUUUGGGUCCAUCUUUUGAUUCUGAUAGAGCGCUAUGUUCCUAGAAUGCCAAAUAGACCAUGUAAUCAUCCCAAACGAUGGUAGUCCUCUUUUGACAGCCAAGAUUCCAAAUUCUUUGCAAAGAGAGCAAAAUCCAUAUGAGGGUUAUUCGUUACAUAAGCAGCCAAAGUUGACAACUUCCACACCUUGAUCGCAAACUUAUAGCCAACUAACUCAUGAAAGGUACCCUCAAUAGCACUAAAACAUCGAUGACAAUUUGGAGAAUCCACUACUUUUCAUUUCAAAAGAUUAUUUGAUGUAGAGAGUAUAUUACGUAGAGCUCUCCAAAAAAAAGAUCGACUUUAGAUGGAAUGGAUAAAAGCCAAGCGGGAUACCCCAAUUAGCAUAGCCAAAUGAACUUAGAGGGGGAAUUAGGAUAAGUAAGACUAAGGGCCACUUGUAACCACUCUUAAAAGUUUACAAAUUUAUUUUGUACAAACUGAUUUGACAUUAACUUAUUGAUUAAAUAAAAAUACAACAACAUGUUUUUAUAUUUAAAAUAUAUAUAUUCACAUAUACGAAGGUAUAUACUUGAACAAUAUGAGUAAUACAUGUGAAUUAAAAUCAUCUCCUAAUCUAAGCUCCAUUAAUUAAUUUUAAAAAAAACUUGUCACAUGUUUUUAGUAUAGUGUAUAAUUAUUGUUAUGUUUUUAUUUAUUAAUUUCCAAUUACCUGCUAUAUAUCUUACUCAACAAUGUUUUGAUCAUGAGAGAAUUUUAAUUCAAAUACAUAUGAAAAAAAAAGAAGAAGAAAUCUGAGACCAUACUAAUAAGAGAUUUCCUUUCAUGUGAUUUUAAGAUCAAAAUUAUGAUAGUAUGCAAAACUUGGUUGCGUUUAGUAUUGUUCUUUAAACAUGUUUUUUGUAUUUAUUUUAUAAUAUAGAUAUGAUUAAUAUUUGAUGAAUUUGAAAAUUUGUUUGGUAUAUAGUAUAUAGUAUGAAUUUGACCACUAAAUAUUAAUAAUUAUAUUUAUAUACAAAAUUAAAAAAAAAUAAGGAUUUCUCUACCUUAACGUUUAAUGUAAGGUACAUCCCUUACAAAUUGAGCUAUAAGUCCACUUGAGCCCACAGCCAAUAGAGAGGUUGUACCUUACAUUAAAUGUAAGUAGAGAUGGCCAAUGGGUCGGGCGGCACAAGGCACAGCACGUGUCCGUACAACAUGGCACGACACGAGCACGUUUUCGGUAGGGCACGAAGCACGGCACGGCACGCAAAAAGGCACGUAAUAAGCACGCUUCAUUGAUAGGCUAAGCACGUAGCCCGUGGGCCAAAGUAUAUCAAAAUAAAAAAUUUUAAUGAAAAAUAAAUAUAAAAUAUCAUGAUUUUAUAAAUAUCUUGAAAAUUAAAUUUUUUAAUAUAUUUUUUUAGCAUAGGUUUUUUAAAAUUAAUUUAAGUCCUAGUUUAAAUAAAUAUUCUAAUUUUUUAUGUUUAUAAUUUAUUAAAUGGAAUAAAUAAAUAUCAUGAUUUUAUAAAUGAUAAAUGAAAAAUUUUACGACAUUAAUAUUUCAUUUAUGAAAUCAUAACUUAGUUAAUAGUUAAUGGAGAUAUGUUUCAUUUAGUGAAUGAAAUAUUUUCAUAUUUAUGCACAAAAAAAUAAAAUUAUGAACAAAAUAUUUUUAUGAUAAAUUAAAAAUUACAUUUUCAUUCAAUGGAGUUUAUGUGCAAUUAUAAUAUUAGUAGCUCAAAUAAAAUUAGAUGUAAUUGUAUUCUAGAAUUGUAAUUUUAUUUCAUUAAUUUAUACUAUGAUCUAUGAAAUUAUAUUAUUAUUGUCGUUGUUGUUGUUGUUAUUAUUAUUAUUAUUAGGCUGGUAGGGUUAAAAAAGCACGCCAGGCACGUGGACUUUUUAGGCAUACUGGACAUGUGGACAAAGAAAAAAGGUUGGUGGCUUUUUUUUGGCACGGCCCACGGCACGAGUUUGGACAUGUGGACAAAAAAAAGUUGGUAUGGGUUUUUUUAGCACGAACCACGGCACGGUACGGCACGAGUGGGCUCGUGCCGUGGGCCGUGCCGGCUCACGAGCCCGUGGGCUGACAUUUUGUGGGCCGUGCCGUGCUGGCCAUCAUUAAAUGUAAGGUAACAGCUCCCAAAAAAUAAAUGAAAGAGAGAGGCAACAUAGCAUAAUACGGGCCGGACCCACAUCUUCAUAAAACUAUGUCAUAAAAGCAGUGGUAGUUCCUAUGAACAAAGUGAAGAAUAAAGAUUUGAUGCUGUCUAAUUAUCUUCGUUAACAUUGUAAAAUAGAUAUGGUUUGCUUUCAUAAUAAUAAAAAUGUUACUGUUACUGAGGCUUAUCAAACAUUUUUUUCUAUUCUUAUAAAAUAGAAAAUGAGUGAUGAAAAACAAUACCAUACAGCCCAAAUUUUUUCCAUUUUUACCCCUUUAAUCAUAGCCUAUCGGCCUCUCCAAUUAGUUGAAAUCUUGAUGAUUCGACCACAGUUGUAAGAGAAAUUCUAGAAUAUAUCUAUUGUAUUAUAACUAAUUAAUGCAUGCACGACAUGCGUAAUUGAGUUUAAUACAACCACCACUUGCAUGAUAGUUUACAAAAUAAAUGCACACAUCAUGAUAUUAUUGCUUGUUGUAUGGGUGACAUAGUACAACAGAUGUAUUCUAGAAUUUCUCCAAGUUGUAAAAUACCAUUUGAGUCACAUAUAUUAUUGGUAGAUGAGUAGAUCGCAUCUCCCUCAACCAACGAAUUGCAUGUCAAUGUGAAAAUUGAUUUAACUGUUUAGUCUGUUUUUCAAUGAGACGUUUUCGUUCAAACUUUUACCUUCAAUCAAUGGGACCGAAGAAAGUAGGAAAAAAAAAAUUAAACAAAUAAAAGGUAGAACUAGUUGACAGACAAAAUUUUAUCAACAUUUUGAAACAACCAACAUUAAAAAGAAAUAAAAAAAUAAAAGAAGAGAUCUAGUAAAAGAAACAUGAGUUUAAUAAUUAAGCUAGAAAAGGAAAGAAUCUUAGUAAGCUUUUCAACAAGAUCCUUUUCAAUGUCCUUUUCGACAAAAUCUUUAUUGUCAAUAUAUUGAAAAAUGAUGGUGGUUGAGUUGUCACUAUGUAUCUCGAAUUUAAGCUUCUGAUACGGUCUUUUAAAAAUAAUUCUGGAUAUUUUAUUUAAAUGGUAACUUUUAAUAGUGGUUAACUUGUAAACAAUUGUUGCCAAAUCAUAAACAAAAUCUUAUUGUCUCACGGAAAGAUACUGGAAAAUAAUCAUGAGUUUAAUAAGCUAGACAAUGAAAGAAUAAUAUAUACAUGUUAUAUAGUAACGAUUGAUUAUUUCUUCUUACCGCUAAGAAAUCUUUUUCUAUGCCUUUUUUCGACAAAAUCUUUAAUGUUAUAUAUUGAAUAAUGAUGGUGAUUAAGUUUCCAUUAUGCAUCUCUCAUGUAAGCCUCAGUCCCUAGAAUUAACUAGCUCUCAGGAUUCCCUGCAUCAGUUAACUACAGCUUCCAGGUUUAUCAAUAAUUAUGGUACACCAUCCUCCAAUAUCUGUGCAUAUAUAUUUUUUAAACAGGAAUUUUGGAGUUUGGAUCAUAUUAAAAUAAAGGAUAAAUUAAAAAUAAGACAAACAUACUCUAAACAUAUUUUAUUUUAUCAUGUAAUAUAUUGAAUUUCAUAUUUUUCUGUCUUUUUAGCUUGUUAUAACGAUCCUUUAUAAGAAAUUAAAUGUAUCUUGAUUCUCUCCCACACUAACUUUAGAAGAGAAAUUAUUUAAUUUGCUUUAUUCUUUUACUACUACUACUGCGUCAAAAUAACCAACAAUUGACGACAACAAUUAUUGAAUAUGUAACAAAUUUACAUACAUUUUGACGACAUCUUUACUUGUUUGUGUUGGCAUCCUUAUUGGCAAAUUACAACAUCGUUCAGUCUUCUUAUAAUUAAGCAAUUGUCUAUGUAACAUAAAUUAUGUAUUAAGAACAUCAAUAUGGCGUGGAGCAUUGCGCAUAGAAGAGAAGAAGUAAAGUCUUAGGCGUCUACUCCAUGUGGGAAACAUGGGAUUAUCACAAAGAGAGAUUUAAAGAUUAUAACAAAAGAGAGAUUUUAACUAACUUGUUAUGGAGGGAUGAGAUAACGAUCAAGUUGGCAUAAUCUGUAGAGAUAACGACGAGUUUGGAAUAAUCAUGUGGUGAUAAUAUUAUGAUAUUCUGCCUUUUGAUCAACUGAGCACGCUCCCUCUCACAACACAACUCUCUUCAUAAGAAUUGGCCAACAUGGAUUGUCACUUUUCAUGUUAAUUUGAUAUUACCUUGAAUGGCAUAUUAAUUUGAUUUGAAAAAUGGAACGAGAGUAGAGGAAAAAAGGAGAAUGAAAAGAAAUAAGAAAAAAAAUGAUGAAUUUCAUAUAAAAAAUCAAAUAAUGAAAUAAUAAAAUUGAGGUCGAUUCUCUUUUUUUUCUCUUUUUUCUCUAAUAAAAAUAUAUCAGAUUAAUGACAAAGUAUUGAUAUUUGAUCCCCUCAGUUUCUCUUAUUAUCUCCCACUUCUCUCAUUUUAAUUUGAAAAGUCAAAAAUACCUACCAAAAUAAUUUUAAGUUUUAAAUUUUACCCUUUCUUCUUUCUCUCCUCUCUCUUAUUCUCCCGACUUCCCUUCAUCUUCGUUUUCUUUAAAAAUUGAAGAUUAGUACACUUUCCUUCAUUUUUUGAUCUUUCUGUAUCGAUGAGAGCAAUAAUUGACAUCAUCAAACAAUCCUUUUCUACCCAAAUCAUGAUUAUAAACAAAAGUAAAAAAUAGCAAUAUCAUGAUAUGGAAUCUUGAUCAUAUCUCAUGAUCCCUCUUCAGCUUCUAUGUUAAUCAAAAGAAAAAAAUAUAAUCGAUUAAAGAUUAAAUUUAAAUUUUAAAAUGUUGUCCUUUUUUUGGGGGGGGGGGGGGGGGAUAAAAAAGAGUUUGAGAUCAAGAUGACAGUGUUGCAUAAAUAAUUAUUAUUAAAAAUUAAAGAAACGGCUUGCAUGUCCCACUUAUUGCUAAGAAGAGAAGUGGUUCGCGCCGGCCAGUUCCAAGAAGACAAGUGGUGGUGUCAGUGCAUGGUUAGUAAUUAUUGGGGACUAGAACUAAUGAUGGUGAUUAAGUUUCCAUUAUGCAUCUCUCAUGUAAGCCUCAGUCCCUAGAAUUAACUAGCUCUCAGGAUUCCUGCAUCAGUUAACUACAGCUUCCAGGUUUAUCAAUAAUUAUGGUACACCAUCCUCCAAUAUCUGUGCAUAUAUAAUUUUUAAACAGGAAUUUUGGAGUUUGGAUCAUAUUAAAAUAAAGGAUAAAUUAAAAAAUAAGACAAACACAUACUCUAACAUAUUUUAUUUUAUCAUGUAAUAUAUUGAAUUUCAUAUUUUUCUGUCUUUUUAGCUUGUUAUAACGAUCCUUUAUAAGAAAUUAAAUGUAUCUUGAUUCUCUCCACACUAACUUUAGAAGAGAAAAUUAUUUAAUUUGCUUUAUUCUUUUACUACUACUGCGUCAAAAUAACCAACAAUUGACGACAACAAUUAUUGAAUAUGUAACAAAUUUACAUACAUUUUGACGACAUCUUUACUUGUUUGUGUUGGCAUCCUUAUUGGCAAAUUACAACAUCGUUCAGUCUUCUUAUAAUUAAGCAAUUGUCUAUGUAACAUAAAUUAUGUAUUAAAACAUCAAUAUGGCGUGGAGCAUUGCGCAUAGAAGAGAAGAAGUAAAGUCUUAGGCGUCUACUCCAUGUGGGAAACAUGGGAUUAUCACAAAGAGAGAUUUAAAGAUUAUAACAAAGAGAGAUUUUAACUAACUUGUUAUGGAGGGAUGAGAUAACGAUCAAGUUGGCAUAAUCUGUAGAGAUAACGACGAGUUUGGAAUAAUCAUGUGGUGAUAAUAUUAUGAUAUUCUGCCUUUUGAUCAACUGAGCACGCUCCCUCUCACAACACAACUCUCUUCAUAAGAAUUGGCCAACAUGGAUUGUCACUUUUCAUGUUAAUUUGAUAUUACCUUGAAUGGCAUAUUAAUUUGAUUUGAAAAAUGGAACGAGAGUAGAGGAAAAAAGGAGAAUGAAAAGAAAUAAGAAAAAAAAUGAUGAAUUUCAUAUAAAAUCAAAUAAUGAAAUAAUAAAAUUGAGGUCGAUUCUCUUUUUUUUCUCUUUUUUCUCUAAUAAAAAAUAUAUCAGAUUAAUGACAAAGUAUUGAAUUGAUCCCCUCAGUUCUCUUAUAUCUCCCCACUUCUCUCAUUUUAAUUUGAAAAGUCAAAAAUACCUACCAAAAUAAUUUAAGUUUUAAAUUUUACCUUUCUUCUUUCUCUCCUCUCUCUAUUCUCCCGACUUCCCUUCAUCUCGUUUUCUUUAAAAAUUGAAGAUUAGUACAACUUUCCCUUCAUUUUUGAUCUUUCUGUAUCGAUGAGAGCAAAAUUGACAUCAUCAAACAAUCCUUUUCUACCCAAAUCAUGAUUAUAAACAAAAGUAAAAAAUAGCAAUAUCAUGAUAUGGAAUCUUGAUCAUAUCUCAUGAUCCCUCUUCAGCUUCUAUGUUAAUCAAAAAGAAAAAAAUAUAAUCGAUUAAAGAUUAAAUUUAAAUUUUAAAAUGUUGUCCUUUUUUGGGGGGGGGGGGGGGGGGAUAAAAAAGAGUUUGAGAUCAAAGAUGACAGUGUUGCAUAAAUAAUUAUUAUUAUAAUAAUUAAAGAAACGGCUUUGCAAUGUCCACUUAUUGCUAAGAAGAGAAGUGGUUCGCGCCGGCCAGUUCCAAGAAGACAAGUGGUGGGUGUCAGUGCAUGGUUAGUAAUUAUUGGGGACUAGAACUGAUUGCCAAGAGUGAGGGUGCAUUUAAUAUUGAGGUUGAGUAACUUUUAAGAUACUGUACUAAAGUGUUUGGUAAACACUAAUUACGGUAGCUUGGAAACUAUGGUGGUAUUUGUUUUUUAACUUAAUGACUUAAAGUGACUUAACUUAAUUAAUUAAGUUAAUUAGAGGUGUUUGUUUUUAUAACUUAAUGAGACUUUUUAGAUAAUUUGACUUAAUAAAAUAAGCUAAUUUUUUGGCUUUUUACUUAAUGGAGAAAUCUGAAUUAAGUUAAUUACUUGCUAAUGUCAAAAAUAUCUCUGUUUUAUAAUUAUUUUUAUGUCUAUCCCAAAACUCACCCAUAAAUAUUUACCCCACAUAAAAAUAUCCCUGUUUUUCUUUCUAUAUUAUAUACGAUAAAAUUUGAAAAUUUAUGGUAUUUAUAUAUUAAAAUUCUAAAAUAAUUAUGUAUUCACGUGAAUAUAGUUUUGCUUAUAAAUGUUAAAAUAUUAUGGUAUUUAAUAUAUUAUUUAUUGACAUUUCAAAUUUAAUAAGGCUACAAAUGUAAAAGUACAUAUUUUCAGCUUUUUAAGUUGAAAAAAACAACAGCUUAAUACUUAUUUUCCGAGAUUCAUACGAAAAAACAAACAUAUUAUUCAGAUUCAGACAUUCAGAUCUAUUAAGAAUUCAGACUAAUUCAGGUUUAUUCAGAUUUUAGAUAAAAAAAACAAACGCCACCUAUGUUAAUAUGAUUUUUUUCUUAUAUAAUAAAAAAUUUAUUAUAUCUUUAAUAAUUUGUCAAAUUAUUAUUUAAAAUUUAUAUAUACUAUAUAUUAUUAAUUUUGUUUCAUAUUACAGUUUUUUUCAUAGCAGUUAUAACUUAAAAGGUAUAGCACCUCAAUUUCAAACAGGACCUGAAUCUUGUUCAACAAGCAACAGAUUUAGCACCGAUGAGAGAAGAACAAAUAUUAAUUUAUUUUUUUUAAUGAGGGCAAUUCUGAAUAUAAUUAUAACUAGUAAAAUGGGAGCUAACGAGAUAAAUUGAGAGGUUUAAUAUCUUUACUCUUAAUAUAAAAAAUAACCACAUCGAAGUGCACUGUUAAAUAAAUAAGUGCCAUCACUAUUUAUGCAAUUUACAUGAUAUUAUGAUUAAUCUUGCAUAUGAUUAUUUAUUAAUAAAAAUAUGUAACAUGUGCUAGCACAUACUAUUUUCCUCUAAAUUUCUUAUACCACAUUUUUUCCUAUAAAUAGAAAGAGGCACACGUCUUCCACGCAAAUCACACAAGUAAGACUUAGUAUAAUUAGAAACAUGAAUCUCAAAGCUUUCUUUGUUCUCUCCGCAGUGCUCUCUUUGCUUCUCUUGGUAUAUAUGCAUCUCUUUUUUAGGAAAAUUUAACAUAAAGGAUACCUAAUUAAGUUAGUUUUGAUGAGAUUCUCUUUAUCAUUUGUUUGAUCUAAUUUUUUUUUUUCCUCUUGUUCAGUUUGCUAACAGAACAGAGGCCAGAAAAGAUCAGGGAGAAUAUUGGAGAGGCUUCGUCAAAGAUAGCGACGUGCCAGAAUCAAUUCAAAUUCAUGUUCGCCAGGAUCCUGUCUCAACUGCCUCUGAUGCCAAAGCCCACUGCAAAGAACCUGAAGAUUUAGAGCACAAGAGAGAAAAGACUUAUGUCAAGGAUUCUGACGCAACGAUUGAUAUCUUAGUUUAUCACAACAGUAUUAAACCAACUGAACAAAAGUUAUUUGGCAACCACUUCGAAAGCCCGGAUGCUACAAUUUACCACAAUGACAUUAAACCAACAGAACAGAAGUUAUUGGCAACCACUUCGAGUCAAGCCCGGAUGCUACAAUUUACCACAAUGACAUUAAACCAACAGAACAGAAGUUAUUUACCAACCACUUCGAGUCAAGCCCGGAUGCUACAAUUUACCACAAUGAUAUUAAACCAACAGUACAGAAGUUAUUUGCCAACCACUUCGUGUCAAGCCCGGAUGCUACAAUUUACCACAACGAUAUUAAACCAAUUGAAAUGAUUAAAUCUUUUGUUAGCAAAUUCUUGUCAAACCCUGAUGCUACAAUUUAUCAUGAGUAACCAGACUCUGCUUUCAAUCGUGUGGAGAGAGCCCGUUAUCCAUCUGUAAUAUUUGUGCGUACGUGUGAUGCUCUCUUUCUAUAAAUAAGUUAUGAGGAGUGCGGUUGUUUAAUGCUCUAAGGCACAAGCUUUGUAAGAAAGUGUGUUUUUAUUGUAAAAUUGAAUAAAAAUUUGUGCCAAGUUAAUUAAUUAUCCCUUUUCUAGUGAUUUUUUUUUUUCUAAUGCUUUGAUUAUUUCCACAAAAUCUUUCGUAAGGAAAGGCCUAGCUACUUGAAUCAAUUUUCUCCAUUUCAACGUUAUUUAGUAUAAUAAUAAUACAAAAAAUCAUUAAUCUCAGUAAUUGAUAAACAAUAUUCUUGCUAUUAUAUUGAGAAUUAAUUCCUAAUCUGAGAAAAUAAAUUAACAAUUAAAAAAUAAUAAAAGAUCGUGAACUACUUAGAUUUAUGGCCCUCUCACAUGUCGAUGGUACUUUACAUAAUUAGAAGCCUUUUUAUUAAUUUUAACAGACACCAUUCAAUCAACUUUGGUGACAUACUGAUAAUUGAUGCAAAAUUCUAUUUGGGGAAAAAAAAGUAAAAGAAAGAACUCCUAUUUUAGCUCUUAAAUCUUAAUUUUUCAAAUUUUAGAAGGAUUAAUGAUCAACAUUAUUUAGCCUAUUUUAUUUAAUUUAUAACUAUAGAAAUCCUAAAGCUGAUGGAGUAUACUUAAUACCUUAUUUUCCCCAAUCACAACCGUCUAAAUUCCUGAAACAUUUCAUUUCUUAAAUUUCAACGGUACAGAUUAAUUCUCUUACGAAAACUCAGCGACUUAUCCUGGACCGCCGCUACUAAAAUACAUAAGAGUAAAAUACUAUAGUAUUCCGGGACAAAUUUAUUUCUUCCACGACGCAAUAAAAUGCUGCGUCCAAUAACAUUCUGUUUCCUAAAGCUUACCCAAAUCGCAGAUAGGAACAUGGUUUGCAAUAAUUUUUCUAACAGAUCCUGCAUCAAAUUCGUUAAAAACUGGUUUAAUUUUUAUUAAAUAAUUUUAAGUAAAUUGAAUAAGAUAAAAAAUUUAAAAAGUUAUUAUUUUAUAAUGAAAAAGCUAGAUCAUCCAUACGUAAUAAAAAAUAGUACGCAUUCACAACUUAAUGCAAUAUAAUCUAGACAACCAAAUAUAUUUUAUGUAUUUUUUACAAAUUGCUUUUAGUAUAAGCAAAUAAGGUGGUUGUCUAAACAUUCAUAUUUUUGGAAGGUCUCAAUUUUUAAUAUUUUCUUAAUAAUUUCUAAUUAAUAAAGAUAUUUUUUUAACUUAUGUAUUGUAGAAAAACCUAUUAGACAUUUUUAUUAUUAACAACUAUACUACAAUUAAGAGUCUUUUUUGUAUAGAAAAUCAAUAUUUGUAACCUUAUUGAUAAAGAGAAAUGAUUAAUAAUAUUUUUAACCAUUAAUUCAUUCAUUAUUAGUUUUCUCAAGAAAAAAAGUUAAAUUCUUUACCUUUUCAUUUCCUAAAAAAAACUUGAUUAUUUAACAUUGAAAUCUUUGACUUUUAUUAUUCCUUUAGUUUCUAUUAGAACCUUAUAAUAUAAAAAAUCAAUAGAUAAAAAAAAUUUGUUCCUCCUUUCUUUACGAAGAAAAUUAUUAUAUUUAUUGGUUAAUUUAAAAAAGAAAAAUUAGUUUCUUGAAGUAUGAAGACCAUAUCUAUUAUCUGAUAAUCAAUUCAUGAUCUCGACUUUCUAGCUAUAUUCUGUCAUUCUAAAUAUUUUAUUUGAAAAUAAUAUUGUUUUAUUUAUUUGUUUGUUUGCUUUUUAAGAGUUCUGAUGGAAGUAAAAAAAACAAAUCUUUUUUACUAAUUUUUUAGGUUUUUUUUAAAAGAUUUUUUAAGAUAUUUUUUUAUUACUGUUAAAAUUUAAGAAUUAAAGAUAGAAUGAAUUUUUGAGUCUUUUCAUAUUUCUUUGAGUAUUGAAAUUACAAAAUAAAAUAUGGCCUUACAAAAAAAAAAUUCGCCUAAGACCCCAUAUACUCUAAUGCCGACUCUGGGUGAAAUUAUUGAUUUUAUUAAUAAUAAUAUGAUGUAUACUAACCAAUGUACAAAACAGUAGUGGGUGACAUAAAUUAGAAUUGUGUUGCAAAAACAAGAGGUUUGAGUGAAAAAGAAUUUACAAACUCACAUUACAAUGUUAUAUAGUUGCCAUAUGUCUCACAUUUUCAAAUGAACAAAAUAUAAUAAAUACAGUAUAAUCUUUAUAACUGAAUAUUCAAUAGAUUAAUAAUCUCUACUGUGUAAUAAUUUUUUAUGGUCAUGACUUAGGCCAAUAGGUUAAAUUAAUAAUUGCAAUAAAUUAAUAAGAUGAUAUUUUUUAUGAAAACCCUUAUAUAACUAUGUGGCUCCAUUCAUAUCAAAAUUAAUAAUUUUUUAAAAUUAUAAAUAUAAUUGACAAUAAUUUUUUAUUUAUUAAAAUGUGAGUCGAUUAUUAUCUUGUUCCCUUAUUACUUCUUUUCCUUGAAAUAUAAAUCUAUUUGAAUCUCGUAUCUAAUUUUUCUUAUUACAUCUAAAAGUUUUGGGAUUGAAUUCUUGAAUUAUAAUAAAAAAAAAAUUAUGAAGUGCUUUCGUACACAUAACUGGCUCCAAAGCAAUUGUAUCAUUCUCAACUUUUAUCAUCGACAUGAUUUUAAGUGAUGUCAGCAGUGGUUUAAUUUAUUCUAAACUUAAAAUCUCUCAACUUACAUCAUUUUUAUUAUGAUAAUCCAAGAGGUAAUUAAGUAGAUAAAUACAAUACAGUUAUUGUUUUGGUUUAUCUAAUAUCUAUUUAGUAGAUUAAUUCAUAUUCAAUAAAUUAGAUUAGUAAAAUAUAACGAAAUUUUAGUUAAUUAAAUGUACGUUUAUUGAACUAUAAAUGAACUCUAGAAAUUAAUAAAUUAUUAAUUUACUAAUUACAUAAUAAUUCUUUUAAUUAAUAAAAUUUAAAUAGUCCCAAUGUUAUUAAUUCAUAGAAGUUAUAUGAAAUAUGUGUCAACUAUAUAAUAUCGUAGUUUGUAAACAAAACAUAACUCUUUUGUUAAUUGAAUACUAACGUAAUGCUAUAGAAAUAACAUAUGUGACCAAUUUGCAUAAAUGUAUACUCUCUGUAUCUUAUUACAAAUGCUUUAUAAAUCAGUGACUCAGAUGUUAUUAUCUAAACUCGUGGAAGCAUUACUUUUGUCCCUGCCAAUAUCAUUCAGAUAAAUAGUUGUUGUGCGUUCAGAUUCACCAGGAAUGCUUACGCAAAACAUAGACUGAACCCAAGAGCUUCGAAACUCGAAACUGAACCAAAUCAUUCUAAUGGAAGAGAAACGCCGGGAAGCCAGAGCGCAACCGCGGCUACGAGCUCGGCCGCAGCUGGAGCCGAGUCAGCGGCAUCCGAGCCGGCUUCGCUCGGCGCCGAGCCGGAGCGCACAAAAGGAAAGCCUCGGCGCUCUCAGCGACUAACGCUUCAUCCACGCCGUCGAAGCGCAUGACUCGCGAGAAGAAUUUAGUUGCUCACACUCCGAUCUACAACCAUAACGUUACAUCUUGACAUUUGUAGUAAGAACGUGAGAGGAUACCUGGAGUGUAUUGGGAUUUGGGCGGAAGAGAAAGGAGCCCUUGGAAUUGGGAAACAAAUGAAAUUAUCUGCAUGGUCCUUGUACUCGUGGAGGGACUGUAACUUCUGAACCAACAAUGCUGAAAAUGCAGGGUCAAAAAUCAACAUUAACUUGAUGAAUAAUUGUUUGAAAAAAAAAAAAAGCAAGAAAACUUGAUUAAUAUAAAAGAGAGCAAAGGAGCACAACCAUACAGAAGUUGUAUAAAGGAAUAUUAAUCAAGCUUGAUUAAUAUUCUUCUUCUAUCCAACACCACAAGAUGAAACACAGUAUUCCUGUUGCAGUAUAUGGUGAGAACUGUGAAGUGCAGGAAGUAGUUUCCUAAGAGAGAUGAUUGAAUGCUCUUAAUUUUUUUUUUCAGAAAAUCAUUUUAUUUUUAAUAAAAGUUUAAUUUUUUUUAAUAAAAAUUUUUAUUUAUUUUUUAUUAAGUUGUGUCUCAUAUUUACUAAUAAAGGAAGUUAUUUGGGUAUAUAAGUAGGAUGUCUCAUCUAACAUGCUAGUAGGAUAAAUCUCUCAUCUAAUAUGCUAGUAUUUUGGGUUAAAUACCUAUAAAUUCUAAGCCGAGUCCACAACAGUCCCCAAAAUAACUGGAUUUAAGUCCUAGCUACACCAGUAGAUUGAAUAGAAGUGCAAAUAAGUUUAACUUUUUUGUCAUUCAUUUUAGUCUUUUUUUUUUUUUUUUUCACAUACAUUGAAAAAGGAUAACUCUGUCGUGAUUGCCAUGGCAGAGCCUAUUUCAAACGAUGGUGUAUGCUAAAGGAAAUUAUCAUGAGAUGAGUGAUAAACCAUACAAUCAGUAGCUACAGCCCACGAUUAAUCAGCCACAUGGCCACAAAUAUUAUUGGCGGCAAAUAUAUCAACAAAAUCACAAUAAAGAUGAGCAUCCUCGAUUCCAUUCCUUAAUGUAAAUAGGACAGCCUGUCUAGCCAUUACUUUAAGAGAUUUGGCUGGCUUUGACACUUGUAUAUAAGCUUGUAACCCUCUCAUUCUUUACAAGAAAUAAGAUAAUAUUUUCAGCUUAAUAAUUCUUUUCAGUGAGAUCAAAGAAAUGUAAAGAGAUAUAGUCACUACUACAAAAAUGUAAAACAAUGACCCAUAUGUUAUGACGGUUCUUCUAAACAACCGUCAUUAAAGAUAUUUAAUGACGGUUAUUAUGUGAACAGUCAUAAUAUAUACCACUUAUAAUGACGGUUAUGUAAUAAAACCGUCAUUAAAUGUCAAAUAAAAUUUACACUUAGUUUUAAUGACGGUUCAUUUAUAAAAACCGUCAUUAAAAGUCACUAUUUUUAAUGACGGUUCUUAUAUACAACGGUCAUUAUAUGUGUAGUUAAAAAUAAUAUUACUUUUAAUGACGGUUUUUUAAUAACCGUCAUUAAAAAUAAUAAUUUUUAAUCACGGUUUUUACAUAUAACGGUCAUUAUAUGUGUAAUUAAAAUAGUACUACCUUUAAUGACGGUUUUUUUAAAACCGUCAUUAAUAAUUUUUAAUGACGAUUUUUACAUUAAACGGUCAUUAUAUGUGUAAUUAAAAUAAUACUACCUUUAAUGACGGUUUUGUUAAGAACCGUCAUUAAAAAUAAAUUUAUUUUUAAUGACGGUUCUUAACAAAACCGUCAUUAAAAAUCAUACUUUUUAAUGACCGUUAUAUAUUAUAACGGUCAUUAUAUAUAUAAUUAAAAUGCUUUUAAUUUUAAUGACGGUUCUUUAAGAACCGUCAUUAAAAAUUGACAUUUUUAGUGACAGUUGUAUAAAACAACCGUCAUCGUAUAUAUUGAUAUAGUUAUAAAAAAAAAAAAAAAUUGGCCUUAUACUGAACACCAAAUCCCUAAAAUUACAGAUAAUUUGUAAACAUUAAAAGUAAUGGCGCAAGCACGCACGCCGCCGGUACACUUAGCCCAUGCAGCAGCAACCGAGCACGGUAGCAACAGGCCACCAGCAGUCGCUCUCUCUCUCACGCACACGCAGCAGCAAGCCAACACCAAUAGCCCCUCUUUCUCAUGCUCACUCUCUACUAUGCCCUCUUACGUACUCAAGAAAACUCUAACCCAUAUCCAAACCCUCGCCGUCGAAGAAAACCCAAUCCUUAAUGGCUUGAAAUUAAAGCCUCCACCGUCAAUCACCAUCGAACCAAAUAAACUCUAGCCUUACCAUCACUCUUCGUUUGACUCGCUGAAGAAAGCACUCUAUUAGGUGAGUCUCUGUUGUUUGAUAAUAUAUCUGCACUCUUUGUUGGCCGAAGCUUUUAGACAAUUGCUUUGAUUCAAUUGCUUCGAUUGGUUAGUUCUCUGUGAUUAAUUAGUUAGUUACUUUUAAUUUCAUAUUUUCAUCUCUAACAGUGAAUUUGGGAGUCGAUUUCUCUGUCGGAUUUGUAAUUUUUGCUACAGAUCAAAAACAUCUUGAAGGUGUUUUCAUAUCUAACAACUUGAACUAUCAUUUAUUUUGUCUUGUUAAUGUUCAAUUUUUUUUUCUUUUUUUAUUAGUAUGACAAUUAGUCGAAUGUGCUUGCACAUAAAACAAUCUUUUAACUUGGCGUUGGAAUAUUUGUUUUGAGUUGUGUCCCCUUAAUCAAUGACCAUACAAAAGUUCCCCAUGAUAAAGUGUUUAGCCCUAUUAAUGCCAUAAAGUCUUGCUCUCAAUUUUUCUGAUUAUGCCUAUGGAUUGAUUACCUAUUUCAUUUACAAAUUCAAUUGGCAAAUGUACAAUGCCUGCAUGACACUCACAUUUGGGUUAUGAUGGUAGUCAUUAUGAGGAAGAAUGUUAGAAUAACAUCAGGGGAAACAUCUGGGAGAAGGUAUGUACUGUCAAGCUCUUUGUUAGAAUCAUCACGAAAUUUAUAUUGGAUCUUGGCUGUUCUAUGUGAUGCAUUUUGGAUUUGCUCUUACUAGACAUGCAAAAACCUGUAAAAUGUAUUUUUUUUUUCCAUUUUAGAUUUACUAUCUAGUAUCUUGUAGGUUUAAUCUAAAAUAGAAACCAUUGAGGAUACUGGACACAAUUCUAAUGAAGAGAAAAGAUGUUAGACUUUAGUAUUCAACCUUUUUUUUUUAGCCAUAUUUCUAGACCCCAAGUUUAUGUCAUGAUAAUUGUGUGAUUGAUAAGAUAUUUUGGUUUUGGACUUUAUCUCAUGGAUUUAGAGUUCGAUUAUAUUUGGAAGUGGAAUAAUGCAUUCAUUUACAUAUGAUGUUUGAUGAAGUUCCCAUAAAAUUAAUUCAAUUAUAUAUGUUUAUGGUUCUAAGGAAGCGGGGCAAAAAUUUUAUCAGUGGGUUGAUUUCACUAGUUUAAGUUAGUAAAGCAAAGAAAUUGUCUUUAUGCACUUUAACUUUCCUCCAUUUAAGGUGAAAAAAUUAUUGAAGCUUUUAGAAGUGAAUUGUUCAUUUUGUUUGUGCACUUAUGCAGAUGGAUUUACUUUUGGCUGCUUAACCCUUCCUCACUUAUAUUUUUUCAGUUUAAAUUGCAGUGUUUUGCUGCUGUGCAACAGCACAAGAGGCUGUUUUAUUGUUGUUUCUGUAAAAACACAGCACCAGGAAGCGUCCAGGUAAUGUUUCGCUGCUGUUAUGCAGUAAAAACAACACCUGAAAGUUUCUAGGUGCUAUUUUUACUGCUGUUUACGCAGAAACACAGCACCUAAAAGUGUCUCUAGGUUCUGUUUAGCUGCUAUUAUGCAGCAAAAACAGCACCUGGAAACUUCCAAGUGCUGUUUUUAUUGCAUUUUAUGCAGAAACAAAGCACCUAGAAGCAUUCAAGGGUUGCUUUACUGUUGUUUUGUAUUUAAAAUUGCUGUUAGAAAUUUUGGGUGCUAUUUCUCUGAAAUUUUGCUAUUAACAGUGCAGCUUAAUAAUUUCAUAUGUCGUUUUGAACCUUCUUCAGUUCUUUUCUCUUAUGUCUAUACUUAAUCUUUUCCCCCCUGGUAAUAAGCAGGUACAAUUUUUGCAAGGUAAUAUCUAAGCAUGCUGUUAAUUCUUUGGUUGAGACGUAGUAUUCUAAACUUCAGGCCUUAAUUUUUUUAUUUCCAAGUGUAUAAUGGGUAGGUACUGGAUCUCUUAUGGAUGAUGUAGUUAAUGCUUUUUUAUUGUCUCUAUUUUGGCAAAUGUGUUGUCAUUUAUUAUCUGAACACAUGGUUGAUUAACUUACUUGAGGUAAGUCUAUUAAUUAAUAGUGAUAUGAUACUUUAAAGUCUUGUUUUACAACUUAAGUCACUAAAAUGAUUUAAUAUUUAUGAUUUAUAAUAUAUGAAUAUAUCUUAAUUUCUCUUUAUUCUUUGUAAGAAUGAUGUAGAUUGCUGAAGCUGGUGAGAUUCAUUUGCAAUUGAAGACUUGAUGAGAAAUUAGAUGUACUCACACAUGCCAAUCUUGUUGGUUGCUAGUGCAUUCACUAGUAGAAGUUUAAUGAUUGUUGGAGAUUUUUGUAGAGCUAUCUCUUUGUAAAUGAAACAUUUGCAUCAUUUUGAAUAUGAAACAUUUGUGAAAAAUAAUUGUAAAGAAUUUAAUAUGAAAUUAGAAUUAAAAUAGGGGCUUGAAAUAGCCUUAAAUUUGCCAAAUUUAUUUUUUUAAUAAUAAAUAACAAAGAUGACGGUUAUUUCAAAAGAACCGUCAUCAAAUGUAGUGUUCUAUAACAAAUAUGACGGUUUUCUUCUAAAACCGUCAUUAAAUGUUGUUUCAAUAUUUAAUGACGGUUCUUACAAUAAACCGUCAUUAAAAUGACACAUUUAAUGACGAUUAUUUAGAUAAACCGUCAUUAAAGAUAGAUAUUUAAUGACGGUUCUUACAAUAAACCGUCAUUAAAAUGACACAUUUAAUGACGGUUAUUUAAAUAACCGUAAUUAAAAAUAUACAUUUAAUGACGGUUAGUGAACCGUCAUAAAAAACAUACCCUCUUUAAUGUCGGUGCCUAAGAUGACGGUUUUAAAACCGUCAUCUUAUGUCGUUUAAAACCGUCAUAAAAGACCAAUUUUGUAGUAGUGAGUCUAUUAGGUUGGCAAAUCUACUGAAACAAUAUUGUUUCCUAUCAACUCCGAAAUACAACCAAUUGAACAACGUUCAGAAAUCGAAAAUCAUUUAUUACCAGUAAGAUUUAUUAUUAUACGCUAUACAUAUGGCUUUAACAGUCACAUUACCAAUACAUUUUUAAUCAUGGUAGGUAGGUGCUGGAAUGUAUACAAUAUUAUCAGCCUGGAAGAAAUGGCAGACAUGGGAGCUCCCUGGCUCGAUCCCAAGCACACGAAACGAUGCAUGAUCUCGACUCCAAUGAGACGUAUCCAUGUGGCAAACUGCUACAGCUUCCACUCUAUCUCCAUUAUCACCACCUAAUGAAACACCGAAUAACUUGUUCUCAGUCAUUUGGCUGUGGCAGUAGAAGAUUGCAUAAGGGUAAGGCAUGAUAUGACAUGCCACCAUCUUGGGAGCAACCAUUGGUUUAGGCACUUGUAAAAUAGUGUAAUUUUGGAAAAUGGUAGCUGAUUUUGUGAGAAAUUUUGUGCUUAGAACUUCGAAUUUGGUCUCCAAUCCGAAAGUUCCGUGUACAAAAUCAAGCAUGGAUUCCAAAGAGGUAGCACAAAUUUUGGUUUCUCCUUCGAUGGGAGGAACUUCGCAAUGAUUCAGGGUCCCUUCCAUGGCUUUGGCUAGGGGUGAGUCAUCUGAGAACGAGAAGAAUUGAAGAAGGUAAGGCAGUUGUUUCAAUGAAAAUGGAAUGGAAUCUGCUUCUUCUCUAGGCAAAGCCUGAGGAUAAGCUGAAGGAUCUCUCUUGCGAAAAAUAAAUCGGCAUCGUUUCGCCAAUCUUUAGAUCCUUCAAGGUGAAGAACACCAUCGUUGAAGGGUCCAUGUGAUUCAUGUGGGAUGGUAUUGAAUGAGAAUCAUGAAGAUUCUCCGAAAGCACCUGAGCACACUGUAAAACAGUUGAGCAAUUCAAUAUGACAACAUAGAUGAAAAAUCAACAACACAAGUUCUAUAAAGUGUAAAACUGAAGGAGCAAAAUAUAUCUUUUUGAGUUAUUGCUUUAAGACAACACUUAUGUACAUCUAUUGCAAAGUAAGCACUUCCUUAGCACACAUUGAGGAUUAUUACCAGAAAGAGUAGAGAAAGAAGGAGGUUCCAAACUGAAAAUCUUAACCCCAUCUCUUUUCUAUUAUCGAAGUUUCUUAUGUAUUUUAGUAAUCUUUUUGUUUUUUUUUUUAAGGGAGAGGAAACACAGAUAACAAGUGAAGCAGAAAGAGAAGAGAUUGUGUAACUGUAUAUGUCAACAACCAAAUGAUGUGUGUUAAUUUUCAAGUGGAAAUUUAUAGCCUGCAUAAGCUGAACUUGUUCUACUGUGCUGAUUAAUUGAAUCACAACACAGUUUGAAUAAUGACCUUAAUAGUCCAAUCCAGCAAAGAAUUCAGCACUCCAAUCAUAUGGGGACACACGUAUUGUACCUUCAUCAUGUCUGCGGAUUUUAAUAGUUUUGACUGAGUGAAGGAUUACUUCAAUUGAUAACAUUGCAUAUUAGAUUACCAGACCUAAAAUUGAUUUCUUAUUAAAAAAUUUACUUGCAAUUUGGAAACUCUCUUUGACACAUUAAUUACAGACUCGAAAUCUGUAUCAAUAUUCCCCAUACAUAGACGGAACUGAGCAGAAAAAGUGGGAAGGCAGAUCGUAAACAAAUUCGACAUGGUAGUUUCCAAGGAUGAAUAGCAUUUUUUUCAUUCGAAAAUGGGAUAAUAUAUCCUUCAGUCACGUAAUGUACACUAUAUAAGGUGGCGUUUGGUUGGGAGGAGAGAACAAAGGAGAGGAAAGUAAUUUAAAUUUUCUUUUUAUUUUCAUUGUUUGGUUUGACAAAAUAUAUAAGAAUUUAAUUUCCAUUAGAAUUUAAUAUCCAUCAUAAUUUGAAUUACACACCAAGUAGUGAAGAAUUUAAAUUCCUUGUAUGUUAGAAACUAAAGUUUCCAAAAUUACUCUUCAACUUGUUUAAUGUCAUUAAUAAUUAUUAUUUAAUAUUAUAAAUGGAUCACCGCCGGAAAGUCGUCGGACUACCGCCGGAAAGUCACUGGAAAGUUACCGGGCCACCCCGGGAUGUUGCCGGAAAGUCACUAGACCACUACCGAACGUUGACGGACGUCGCCGAACGUCGCCGGAAUCCUGCCGAACGUUGCCAUAAGGUAGUUUCCAAGGAUGAAUAGCAUUUUUUUCAUUCGAAAAUGGGAUAAUUUAUCCUUCAGUCACGUAAUGUACACUAAAUCUCUUCUCAACCUAGUGUGCGUCGGAUAUGUGAGUGUCGGGGCUCCAGUCUCCCGUACAAUCUUUAAAAAUUUUUUUGGUCAAAUUAACAGGCUGCACUCACUGUAUUUCCAUGGAUCACACUACUUCAACUAAAAGAUAAGAUAAUAAGUAUAUUUAGGAUUUUACGGAAUGAUUUUUAAGUAGUUUUUAUUAAUUAAUUAUUCAAAUUCGAAUUAAAAAAAGACUAAAAAAUUCAUCAGAAUUUUUCUCACUCCCAAUCUUUCAAAAUAUAACAAAUAAUAAGUCAUAUAAAAAAUGUUUUAAACGCAAUUUUCACUUCAAACAUAUUUCAUUUGAAGUUUAAUUAUAUUCUCCGGUGGAACCUGGAUAAGUUGAAACAAAAUUUUAUUAAUAAAAAAAAAUGUACAUCUAAUUGUCUUACGAUGGGUCAAGAACAAAAGGUUAAAGGAUAAUAUACGUGGACAUGAUAAUGCAGAAACCGAGAAUCAAAAGGGCACGAGUUUCAAAUGCUAGACAAAUGAAAGAGACGUGUGAUUGCAGGUCGAUUUUCUUCUCAUCACUAGCCACUAGCACACAUCCCCUUAAUCAAAAUCUUUUUCAAUAUUGUUUAUUAUAUAAAUGGAUAUUGGUAGUGGUUGAACUUCUAUUAUUUAAUUAUGUUGUCAUUUUCCAUCACUACAACAACAGAUGAUUCAUGUAGGAUCGGUCAAUAAUUGUCGCCCAAUGUUUUUGUCUUUUUCAUAAUUUAGUUAUUUUUGUUCAUAUGUCUGACGAAGAAGUUUUAAUUUUGCAAGAGGAAUUCAAGUUGAUAAGACCUUGUCGACUUGUCUUCUGCUGAAGAAUCUUGAAUAAUCAUGCCAAAUUCAAAAAGUGGCAAAAGCAAAAGGCUAACUUCUUAAUGAAUUCAAUAUUAUUAUGAAUUUGGUGCUAGCUCAAUCUUGAAAAUGAUCCAAAAAUUAAAAAGUAAACAUAUAAUAAUCACAUCUACAAAUGUACAUUAUUAGUGAGUCAUUGAUGAUAUAUCACGAAUUCAUUAGCUGAUUAAUUAAAGAUACCACGAAAAUAUUAUAUCAUUAGCUGGUCUAAAAAAGUAGUCAAUAAGAAAAUGAAAGGUAAAUUCAUAAAUUUCAGCCGGAAAUUUUUUUUUAAAAAAAAAGGGACCAAUAAUUGUAGGAAAUGGCUAGCUUCUUAUCCUCUUCACAAAAGAUUAAAUCCUCUUGAAAAGGUUUGUUACUGAAAUACAUAUUAUAUUACACCAACACUCUCUAUUACCAUAUGAAUUUAGAUCUUCCCCUAACUUAAUAUUUUAUAUAAUGUUGUAGGAAUAAUCUUCAUCACCAGAGAUUAGGAUCUUCUCCUAACUUAAUAUCUCAUAAGUGUUGUAUGAGAUUAUUUAGCACAUGUCAUUAUAUUUUUCUAAAGCUAAGAUUUAAUUUACUUUAUACUUUCCUUAUUAAACAUUAAAACCAAUAAUUUUCUAGGCUAAGUAAAACCCUGAAAUUCAAGUGUGCCGCUUUCUAGCUAACCAAACUGCUGCUUCUUUCUCUACCGGGUUUUUUUUUUUUUUUUUUUUUGCCACAAACUUUAAACUUAGGUAUAUAUAAACUUGAGCAAAGAAGCAUUAUUGGCAAUUAAUUCUUGUAAGAAUUGUUUAUGUAAUGGAAUCAGACUAGAACAGAAUGCAUUAUUGUUCGAUAUACGUAGUCUACAAUAACAAUUGAAGACACCUGAAGAUAAUAUCAAUUAUAGACAAUUUUUAUUGCAAUAUAUUCAAUGCAUUGUUGCUAUCGCGUGUCUGUAAUUAAUUUUACAUAAAUUAAGCUGAUAUAUCUCAUUUCAGUGUACUAAUAAUUAAGUUGAACGUUGAUGCAGCUACUGCUAUUUCCAGGAACACAGCUUUUCUAGGAGCCAGUAGUCGUAAUGUGAGAGGGGAGAUUAAUUAUGGCAGUAGCUAUCUAAAGUAAAAUUUUGGAGAUAUUGAAUUCGUUGAAGCAGAAGCAAUGACAUUUGAGAUCGAAAUAUGCAAACGGCACGGGUCUAUUUCCAUUAAUUAUUGAAUCAGAUAUUCAGAAUGUUGUCAAUCUUGCUGCAUCACUUGAAAGUACUAGAAAAUAGAUUCUUUGAGUGAUCUCUGAUAUUUAAUUGUUGGCUAGACAACUGGCAAUUUCAAAUUUGUAUUCAUUCCUAGAAUAUGUAACGUGGAAGUUCAUAGAUUAGCUAAACUUGCAGUUAGCUAUCAGAAAGCCGUAUUGUUUGGAUUGAGAAUAUUCCUAUAGAUGUAAAAUCUUAUCAUUUUUAAAGAAUUUUUUACUUUGAAAGUAAAAUAAUUAAGGGCCAUCUCUAUCGUUGUUAGGGAUGGCAAAAUCCUCCACGGGUUUGGGGCCCCAUGGAGCCCCACCCCAAAUGGGGAAAAUUUUGAAUAAUUUUUGGGGAAUGGGGUGUGGAGUGGGGAGAAAAUAAUCCCCAAAUUCUUAAUGGGGUGGGUUUUGGUUUUGUACUCCCCACCUCAAUCCCCAUUAUAUAUAAAUAUGUUUUUAAUUCUUAUUUAAUAAUUUUUAUUUUAUCAAUUAUAAUGUCAAUUAAUAAUUUUUUUUUUAAUUUUUAUGCAAUAUAAACAAGAUAUGAAUGAAAGAAAAUCCUAUAAUAUUUUUCAACUCUGAAACAUUGUUAUAUUUUUUUUUCUCUUUUAAGGUGCUACGCUCUUUAAAUAUUUUUCACUUUUAAUAUCAUUUUAAGAUAUUGUUUCAAACUUUUAGAUAUUUUUUUAAAAGAAUUUAAAUACUUUAUAAUAUGAUGAUGAUUUUAUUUUAAAUCUCUAAUUUUUAACUUACUAAAAUAAUAUAUUUAUACAUAUUAUAAAAUAAAUAAAUGGGGAAUGGGGUGGGGAUGGAUAAAUCAUUCCCCACAUGGGGAUUCUCCAUCCCCACUCCACUAAAAUUAUUAGGGAAUGAGGUGGGGAAUGGAGACAAAAAUUUCUAACAGGGUGAGGAAUGUGGUAGGCCUCCCCACCCCCACCCCACCCCAUUGCCAUCCUUAAUCGUUGCGAAUUGCAAUUCUCAUAGACUAUGCGGUCCACAUUAUGAGUUUUAAAUUCUUGCAUGAUUAAUCACCCACAUGAGCAUGCUCCACCAACCUGCCACAUCAUGUUACCACUUCUUCCAAUCUGUGUAUAUAUACACGCACACACACCAGUAUGGCCUCCAUGCAAAUUACAAACGCAGUAUCUAAUAUUGUUUGUCACUGGCCAGAAACAUGAAUAUUAAAGCCUUCUUUGUUCUCUCCACAGUGCUCUCAUUGCUUCUCUUGGUAUGUAUCAUUUGAUCAGUAAUAAUGUUAGGUUAAUCACAAAUUCAUUACAUAAAAUAUUUUGUACAAAAUUGAUAACACAAAUGUACAGUAUCGAUGUGAUGAGAACACCACACAGCCCGAUCAUUAUUUUGUAUUUCUAUUCAACCAAUACUAUUUUAUCACAUCAGCUUUAAGAGUAGCUUAAUUAUAGCUAGCUCUAGCAUUACUCGUUUUGAUUCAAAUGAUUUUCGAAUUUUUAUCAUUCGCAUGGUCAAUAUAUAGUUCCUCUUUCUUUUGUUUUUCCCCCUCUUAAUUGUUUUCCUUGUGUGCAGUUUGCCAACAUGAUAGAUGCGAGAAAAGACCUGAGAGAUUAUUGGAGAACUGUCGUGAAAAAUCAAGACAUGCCUGGGGAAUCAACUCAAGGUCUCAUUCCUGAAGAUCAAGCCUCGACCGUCUCUAAAACCACUGCCUAUUGCCAUACACAUGAAGAUUCUGAGCACACCAUGGAGAAGCCUUUUGUCAAUAAGAACUUUGAGCUGAUGCCUGAUGUUUCAAUCUAUGACAACGGCGUUAAGCUGACGAAACAAAAGGCUUUUGUCAAGGACCUCGAGCUAAUGCCUGAUGUUUCAAUUUAUGACAACGGUAUUAAACCAAAGGAUAAGCAGAGAUCCUUCGCCAAGAACUUCGAGCUCAUGCCUGAUGUUUCAAUUUACGACAACGGUAUUAAGCCAACCAAACAAAAGGCUUUUGCCAAGCACUUCGAGUUCUUGCCUGAUGUUUCAAUUUACGACAACGGUAUUAAGCCAACCAAACAAAAGUUCUUCGCCAAGGACUUCGAGCUCAUGCCUGAUGUUUCUAUUUAUGACAAUGGUGUAAAGCUAGCCAAACAAAGGUUCUCCGCCAAGGACUUCGAACUCAUACCUGAUAUUUCAAUUUAUAACAAUGGUGUAGAGCUAGCCAAACAGAAGGCAUUCGCCAAAGGCUUCGAGCUCAUGCCUGAUGUUUCAAUUUAUGACAAUGAUAUUAAACCAUCGAAGAAGAGUUCAUAUGCCAAGGACUUUGAGCUGAAGGCUGAUAUUUCAAUUCAUGAACCGACCGAACAAAAAUAGGUUAUUAGCAGUACGGAUCCGCAGCCAGAUGCUACAAUUUAUCAUAAAUAAAUAGAUGAUCAUGCUUGCAAUCAGGCGCAGGAUGGAGUCUCUUACCAUAUUUAAUGUUCUAGAAGAGUAGCCACAUAUAUGUGACACUGCUUUCCUUGUUUGUGUGUGUUGUCAAAAGCGCUGUUUGUAAAGUAAUGUAAUAAGUGCUGAAGUAACCCAUGCAAUAAAAUCAUGUCAUGCGUC